UUUUUUUUUUUCUUCUUUGUUCUUUUUUGACUCACCGGCCAAAUGAAAAGUCCUGUUGGCUUUCCAUUGACUAGCAAAAUAAUCCAAAAUUAUUCGGACCAUAAAAGAAAAGUACAAAAGAAUAUUUGCGUGAGUGAGUCUUAAAUUAAGGAAGAUAAAGUUAUUGACGAUGUGAAUGCGAUAGUCUAAAUUGAAUUGAAGAGACUCUAUAAUAAAAGGAGACUUUUUAUGGGAUUUUAUAGUUGCUACCUAAUUUAUCUUCUUUUUUUUAUCCAAUGAGAAAAAAAAAAACGAUGUUGUAUCUAAAUAAUCAACGAGAUCAAGCAUGGAAAUUAUUAAAGAUAAGUACUAUGCUGUGUACGAUCCUAGUACUAUUAGUCAACCGCAUUUAAUUGAUCAAGUAGGAAUCACAUUAAAAAAUGCACGAGAAAACAUUGACAAAGAAAGAUUGCCCAUCUUGAUUAAUUUUCUAUAUAGCAUAUAAAUAUUGCCCGAACUGGACUUUGUCUAUCUUCUUUAUCAAGCUGUUCUACUAUUUUCCCUAAAUCCUAAACCCUGAAUUGGAUAGAAAGCUCAAACAAAUGAUUUUGAGUAUGAAUAAUUCUGAAUAUGCUAAAAUUUGUGUAUGGGGAUUAUGCACUUAAUCGUAUGGUAACAAUUGAAUAUAACUCAUCUAUAUGUACUAGGAUAGCAAAUUGCAAAUGGGAUGAUCUUUCGAGUUUAACGUCAUUUCUUGCCAUUUGUCUUAGUUGGUAAUAACGGAGCCCUUCUCUCCCAUAAGAUCAUUAAUUAUUGCCCCUCCUCCUUAUCCUCUCUCAUUUAAUUGUAAGUCAUUCUAUUCAAGUAAUAUUAUUCAUUUAAAUAAAAUAAUGUGAUUUUCCAUAUUUUACUUUAUUCGCAAAAGCUUCUAGUGUUGUAUGUGCAUUUGACAAAUAAUAUAUGGUUGAAAGAUCUAACGCGUUGCCAACUCAGCGUUUUUAGUCUUUUUCUUAGGCUCAAGUUUGUUGUCAUUCAGAUUGCUACAUUCAUGAAGCAAUAUUCUUAUUGUAAAUAAUGUAUUCAUCUUUUUGUAGCAAUAUUCUUAUUGUCAUAAUCUCUCUCUUUGUUGUAACGAUAGAAGUGCUGAAACAUUAAUAAUUGAAAUUUAAGUGUUGACAAAUAUAGGCACGGAAAAUGGGGAAAAAAAGUUGUUUGAUAACGAUGACUAGAUCUUACUAAUUUCUUAGUAUAUAUAGGCUUACGAUCAUUAUUGGUAUCUUGACUCUUGAAAGAAGAAUUAAUGUCUUCAAAUUUAAAGAAUGUGGAGAAUUCGAAGACCAUGGAAUGUGGCAAUCGGAAUUUUUGACUUUCAAUACUAGCAUUUUAGAUGGUUUUCUGUGAUUGUUAUUACCCUGAGUCUGAUGAGUUAAGCUUAAAAUGAUAUAUGUUGACAUGUAUGUCGAUGGUAUUGAGUGACGGUAAUAAUUUUAUCAUUAUAUUAGUUUUAGUCCUCAAAUUACAUAUUUAAUGAUAUUCAAGUUUUAAAUUUACUAAAUUGGGAUUUUUCCUAGCAUCCAGUAUCUUUCACUAUUUGGUGCGUUCAAAAUUUUUUCAGAUUUAUCAAUUUUUAGAACCGACAUUGUUUUCCUUGUUUUUGUAAUGAUUUACUAGAUAUCUUGGUAACUUAACAAAACAUCACCUAUUUCAACUUUAACUCAUUAAUCCCUUAAUGACUCGUUCAUUUCACUUGGACAAGAAGAACUCUCUCAAAAUAUCUCCUAUUGGCUACUCUCUUUACCACUUGAAGCUUUUGUAUUGCUACACCAAUCUUUCUACCUACACUUAGCAUAAGGCCAUCAUUACUUCAACCUUGGUUAUUUGCCCUGGCAAAUCAUAUGCGACCAUGUGUAAGAUUUUUUUAUUAUAUACCAUCCGAUCUUCACAAUGUGUCUUUUAAACUCAAAGUCAUCACUUCAUUUGAACUUGGUUACUCGAUCUCAUCUCUCUUGGCUAUAUAAAUGGGUCUUCGAGCUUUAAAGUAGAAGUCCCCCACCUCACUAACUUCCAAUUUCCAGCUUUCUUCGUCUACUUUCGUUUUCAAAUCUUGCAAGUAAAAGCGAAGGUCCACACACUUGUGUUAUUAAAGUUUUUAUCUCAAAUCUUUCAAGAAUGGAAAAGGUAAAUUAUUGGAUUCCACUACUUUCUACUAAUGGUUUUGUCAUUUUAAAGACAAAAAUCGUUAACUUUCUAUUUUACUUAAUUUACUCAAAGGCAAUUAAGGCUUUGAGAUACUCAAGUCUUUACUAAGGUAAGUGAAAUCUCUAGAAGUGAGAUUACGUUGAUCUACUUAGUACUCCUAACUUGGUUAGUUGAUGUUUGCUACUUAAGUUUGAAUUUGACAAAAAGGAUGAGUUAGGGCCUGUUUGUUAAAAAAAAUUUGAUGUUCCUUGGAACAAAAAUUUCUAUCCUUUUGUUCCAAGGAACAAAAAAAGAAUAGGAAGGUGUUUGGUAAAAAAUUUGUUCUUGAGAACAAAAAAUUUAUUUUUUUGUUCCCGGGAAUAGAUUUGGAACAGAAACAAAAAGUAGAAAAAAGUAGCUUCUUGUUCCCGGAAACAAUUUCUAGAAUCAAUUUUUCUCUCUCUUCUUUUUUCUUCUUCUCUUUCUUUUCUUCUUCUUCUUCUUCCUUUUGGUUGGUUGCCAGCCUUGGCCAUGAUCGGCGCCGGCAACCAACCAAACAAGGGCUGAUGACCUUGCCGGAGCCUUGCCAACCCCUAGAGACGCCAAGCCACAGUAAGGCUCGUUGGCCCAAGCCUCGCUGUGGCUGGCCGAGGCCGAGGCUCACCGUGGCUAAGCUGGCCUUCAGCGAGCUUGCCGGACCUCGCCCAGCUGGUUGCCAGCCAAAAAGAAAAAGAAAAAGGAAAAAAAUAAGAAAAUAUAAUAAAAGAAUUUAAAAAAAUUAAAAGAAAUAAAAAAAAUCUAAGAAUCCUACCAAACAUAUUUCUAUCCCGAGAAUAGAAAUUUAGCGAAGUUACCAAACCCAUUCUUUUGCUUAGAAAUUAUUCUCAAGAAUAGAAUCACAAAAAAUUAUUUCUCAUAAAAAAUUGUUCCCUGGAACAAAUGGUUACCAAACGCGCCCUUAGCCUCCAUAAUGGCGUGCUGAGAUAUUAUGAUGAUUUGACUCAUCUUAGUGAGUUCUUUUAUGUGUGAAUGUGAUUAGUUGUCUUCUGUGAGAUGCGGUAUGGGUGAGGUAGCAUGAUUGGAUGGCAAAAAUGUGAAUUUGGCAAAACUAGGCUUAAAAGGGCUGCUUCUAUAAAAAUUUUACUUGCCAUUGUUGAUCAUAUUCACCUUAGACUCACCAAUCGUUGAUCAUAUUUACCUUAAUACUCACUAUUAUAUUUACCAUAUACUACUCACUAGUUUAUUCACUUGUCUGAUACUGAAUAUAUUCAUUUGCUUGAGUGUAUUCACUUACUGAGUGUAUCCACUUUCUAAGUAUGGUCACUCACUGUUUAUAUUCAAUUGCUAAGUAUCACCACAUACUAUUCACAUCCACUUUCUCAGUAUGACCGCUUACUAUUUAUAUUUACUUAUUGAGAAUCACCACAUACUGCUCACAUCCACUUUCUAGCUUGCCAUUAUCAUGUGAUCAUUGAAAGACAUGAUAAUAUUUGAAAAGAAGUAAGCAUGUGACUAUCAUUACCUACGUAUGUAAUCAUCAAAAGGAUAAGGCAAUGAUAUGUAUGAAAAGAUAUUGUGUAUUGGAUGUUGAUUAUUGAAAUGAGUGUUGAUUUCAUUGUUGAUGUAAGGAAGAUCAUACAUUUAUAAUGUUAAUAUAUGCACCAUUGUUAUGUGAUUAAAUAAGGAAAGUAUAACAUAUAUAUUUUCGUCGCCUAAAUAUAAUGAUGACGACACCCUGUGUAUCAAGAUGUCUCGGGAGUCAAGAUGCCCUAUGUGUUGAGAUGCCUCGAAAUUGAAAUGUCCCAUGUGUUGGGAAGCCCCAAGAGUAUUCGGUAGAAGAAAUAAAGAAUUUAAUACAUAUAUUUGUGCAUAUACAAUUACAUAUAGGCACACAUGAAAGAAGUAGACGUGCAUCAUAAUAUGUUAUGCCAUCCGCUUGUAAAUGUGUGAAUAAUCUUAUGUAAUGAUGCUAUUGGUGGUUUCCAUCAGUAUAUCAUGAUAAAAGAAGAUAAUGCAUAUACUUAUGCACUUGUCAUUCAAGGUUAUUUUGUGGUACUUUGAACUAAUGUUGUUUGAUUAUGCUAGGUUGAGUUGUAAGGUGAUAUCGUAUCUUAAAUUUAGAGAUUUCAUUUACUAGAUUUUGACUCACCCCUUAUUUUUUCAGUUUUGUAGGAUGGAACACCCUGCCACUACCGUUGGGAGUUCUUGUAUAUUUUGAUUGUGAAUACCUAUACUUAUACCUAGAUUGACAAUAGUAUGUACCAAGUGUUGUUCCACCUUGUGGGUUGACGGGGAGUUUGUUGGACCACUUUGGGGUUUUCUAUGGUCCCCUUGGUUUUGGCAGUGUUUGCUUGUUGAUGGGCAAGGCUGUCGAUAUGUAGUGAAUAACUUGAUCUCGGGGGUGUUUGGGAGGGGUGGGGGGGGGGGGGGGUGUUGGGCAUAGGACGAUGAUGGUGAUAGGUGACCCCGACCCUUCCCAAAAUUUACGUUUUGUAGUUGUGUUUUGCUUAAAGGAGAAGUAUAUGUAAAACCUCGUGCAAUGUCUUGUGUGGGAUGUUGUUGAAAAUUUUUGUUGUGCUUUCCCAUACUAUUAAUAUUUAAAUGAUAAAAUUAGAAAGGACACGUCCCACGUCACAUUUUUGGGCGUCACAUAGAGAUCAAGAAAACCUCGUUGAAUCAAGCUUCCAAACCCCAUAGUCUUCCUCAACACACAUUGAAGUCUCGUCGGAUUAAAGUUUCGUCGAAUCAAGCUUCCCAAGCCCCAGAGUCUUCAUCAAUAUCAUCGAGGUUUCGCCUGAUCACGCUCCAAAACUAUGUUGUCUUUGUCAUUGUUCAUCUAGAUUCAAUCAAAUCAAAGCUUCAAAGCCCCCACGAUUUCAAGAAAUCAAGCUAUCUAUCAUUUUAUUCAAGAUCAAUUGCUUAGAAAUUCAAUUGUGAAACUGUAGAUUCUAUCCACUUCAUUCAAUAUUGAUAAAUUUGGCACCACCUUUUCUUUUAUGUAAUUUAGCCUCAAAAUUUGUUCGUGUUCAGUUAUAUAUAUGUAGUCACUAUAACAUCAUUUUGACUCAAUUUUCUUCGUCGGUUUUUUUUCUUUCCCUUUUACACUUUUAUAUCUUAUGGAAUUCCAUGGAUAGUUCGGGUUAACGACCAUGAAAACAUUAUAUUCAUAAAUCAUAUAUAUUUGGAACAUAAUAAAGAAUGCUUAAAAUGGGUCAUCGCAUUAUGUCCAUGAUUUUAUUUGUAUUGGGUGCUUCAAAAGUCGUUUUUCUUUUCUUUGGUUAGAUAUUUGGCCACAUGGACCUUAUGCCGUAGGUCUAUAAAUAUUUUUGAAUUUCAUGAAUUAGUAAAUGAGACAGUUGUGUGAUGUACUUGUAUUCCACAAGUGAAUCUAAAUUAGCAUCCAAGUUAAAGACUCCAUUUGACAUGGAAAUGAAUAAUUUUAAAAAUAUUUUCCUAAAAAUGAUCGUUUGUACUUUUUACAAAAAUGAAAGAAAGAAAAUUAUUUUUAUCAUCCACACAAAUAUUUAGGUAUAAAUUAUUAUUGAUAAUGAAAAUAUUUUUUAUUAACUAAUAUUUCUAAUGAUGUAUUUUCAUUAUCUACAAAAAUAUUUAGACAAAAUUUGUUGUUAAUAAUGAAAAUAAAAUUAUUAACUAAUUAUUUCAAGUGAUGCAUGCAAUCAUUUUUAUGAAAAUGUUUUCGAAAUUAUUCAUCUUCUGCGAAACAAAUGGAACCUAAAUUAAUCAUCAUUUUCCUAUAGAUAUUGAAAUAUAAUUUUUUUUUUCCAAGUACUAUUGGAAUUGACUUAGGUUGCGAUCUAAUAUAAUAGGAAAGGUACUGUAAAUGGGAUGAUGUGAGUGGGCAACAUUAGAAGCUUCUCCCGGAUAAGCCCACUAAUAUAUUGCCCUCCACCUUAUCCUCCCUUUUUUUUUCAAUUUACCAUCUAAAUGUAACUCAUUUAUAAUUAUAAAUUGUUUUUAUUUACCAAAGUACUUCCAUUUAAACUUUUUCCUAUACUAGUUAGUAGACAAAAGCUUCUAUUGUUUCAUGUGCAUUCGAGAAAUAUGAAAGAUAAUAUGUCAUAAUGGUUGUUUCAGACUUCUAUAAUUUAGUCUUACGUGUAUCCUCUACGAUUAACAAUUCCUUAAAAUAUCGUGGAAUCUGUACUUAUAUUUUAUUUUAAUUCUGUUUGCAAUUAAAUUGUAUUUCAAUUCAUAUAUGUCACAUUUUUUGUUAUAUUUUGCAUGACAAUCUGCGCAAUCCGCGGGUAAAUGUCGGACUUGUCAAAACUCUAUUUACACAAGAUGAUUUGCUACAUUAUUUGGAAAGUUAAUUUUGUGAACUAAUUCUAGAAUGCCCUCCUCGAGUAUCUGGGCUAUCUUGAAGACAGCUUGAUGCUAAAAGUAGUUCACUUUCUGGAUAUUUAUGAACAUUGCGACGUCAUUGAUUACACAGAAACAUACAAAGUCACACAGUGUAAUGACACUUCAUAGUCUCUUGACUUGAGCUAAAUAGUUGGUGGAGUCCGAAACUUUUUUUUUUGCAUCAUCUACAAAUAUAUUUAAGUAUAAAUUGUCAUUUAUAAGGAAAAAUUAUUUAAUUAACUAAUUAUUUCAAGUAAUAUAAAUGAUUAUUUUUUAAUUUUUGUCAAAAUCAUUGAUUUUCAGCAAAAACAAACGGAGUCUAAAGCUCUAAUUCAUUGUCAACUCAGCGUUUUUAGUCUUUUUCUUAGGCUCAAGCAUAUUGUCAUUUAGAUUGCUACAUUCAUGAAGUAUUGACCGUUAUGUUUAUUUCCAAUUAAUUGCCUCCUUAACCUGUGGUAAUAACCACUGGGGGUUCGCCCCAGUGGCCACCCUUCCAACAUGGAAGAGGGAGGUGAGGGGUUCAAAUCCCCACCUCCUCAGGGGGGGAUGGGGGUAGGGACGCGUAAGUUUCGAGAGUGGGUUGCGACUCCCAUGCCCUGCAAGAGGCAGGGCACAAGUGCUACAUUCAUGAAGUAUUGACCGUUAUGUUUAUUUCCAAUUAAUUGCCUCCUUAACCUGUGGUAAUUUAUUUCAUUGGUUUGUUGCCUUCCAUAUUAAUCUCCACUAAGAUGCUAAUCUAUUUAUCUUUUUGUAGCAACACCCUUAUUGCAAUUAUAUCUCUCCUCAUUUUAAUAACUGAAACUCAAGUGUUGACAAUUGUAAGCACCGAAAAUGGAGGGAAAAAAAGUUGUUUGAUAACGAUCACUAGAUCUUUUAAGUUUCGUAUUAUAUAUCUACUUAUGAUGAUCAUUGGUAUCUUGACUCUCGAAAAUCUCGAAAAGAACAAUCAACGUCUUCAAAUUUAAAGAAAACUCGAAGACUUUGAAGAACGCGUAGAUCAACGAAGCCUUGUCGAAUCAAGCUUCCACGUCCUCAUCUUCCUCAACACCAAAGUCUCGUCUAAUCGAACUUCAAAACUGUGUCAUUAUCGUAUAUCAAAGUUAGGUCAAGUCAAGCUUCCAAAGCCCAACAAUCUCCGUCAACAUUAUUGAGGUUUUGCUGGGGCACGCUCCAAAACCUUGUUGUCUUUGUCAUUGUUGCUCUAAAUUCAAUCAGAUCAAAGCUUCAAAGCCCCCAGGACUUCAAGAAAUCAAGCUAUCCAUCCUUUCAUUCAUGAUCCAUUGCUUAGGAAUCCAGGUGUGAAGCUAACAUUGAUUAAUUUGGCACCAAUUUUUAUUUUAUGUAAUUUAGACUCAAAAUUUAUUGGUGAACAGUUGUAUAAAUGUAGUCAAUGUAACAUCAUUUUGACAAAAUUUUGUUCCUUGCUUUAAAAAAAAAUAAAAAUUCUUUCAUAUAGAAUUUCACGGAUAGUUUGGGUUAACGACCAUAGAUACAUUAUAUUCAUAAAUCAUAUGUUUUAAAAUUAAUAAAAGGAUACAUAAAAUGGGUCACCACAUUAGGUUCGCGAGUUUAUUUUGUAUACGGUGCUUCAAAAUUUGAUAAUUUACUUUCAUUUUGCAAAAUCUUAUUUUACCGAGUUGUUUUUCUUUUUUACGUUAGAUAUUUUGCCAUAUGGGCCUUAUGCCUUUGGUCCUCUAUAAAUAUUUUUAAGUUUCAUGAAUUAGUAGUUGAGACGGUUGUGUAAUGUAUUCGUAUUUCACAAGUACAUCUAAAUCAACAUCCAAGUUAAGGCACUGUUUCUUUUUCUUAAUUUUUUUCACGAAUAAUAAAUCACUUGAAAAUAUUUACUUAAAAAAUUUGCUAGCAUCUAUUGAAAAAUGAGUUAACAAAUAAUAUUCUGAUUGUCUACGAAAAUAUUUAGAUAUAAAAUAAUGAAAAUAUUUUGUAGUGACUAAUUAUUUCAAGCGAUAUAUUUUUAUUGUUCAUGAAAAUAUUUAUACAUAUUUUUUUUUAUCAAUAAUGAAAAUAUUUUUCAUUGACUAAUUAUUUCAUUCGACACGAGUGACCAUUUUCAGAAAAAUAUUCUCUAAAUUAUUUAUCUUUUACAAAAUAAACAGAGCCUAAAUCAAUUAAUAUAAUUUUUUAAAAAUAUAAUUGGAAUUUACUUAGGUUGCGAUCUAAUAGGAAAGGUACUGCAAAUGGGAUGAUCUUAGAGUUUUGGAGGUGUCAUUUUUUGGCAUUGUGCUUAGUUGGCAACAUUAGAAGCUUCUCCCCCCUAAAGCCACGAAAUUAUUGCCUUCUCCCUAUCCUCUUUUUUCUUUUUUACCAUUUAAUUGCAACUCAUUUAUAAUUAAAAAUUAUGUUUUUAUUUACCCAAAUACUUCAACUUAAACUUGUUCCUAUGCUAAUUAGUAGAUAAAAGCUUCUAUUGCCUUAUGUGCAUUUGAGAAAUAUGAAAGAUAAUAUGUCAUCAUGGUUGCUUCAGACUUUCAUAAUUUAGUCUUACGUGUACCUUUUAUGAUUAACGAUUCCUUAAAAUAUCGUGGAAUCUCCGCUUAUAGUAUAUUUUAAUUCUGUUUGUGAUUGAAUUGUAUUUUAAUUCAUAUACGCCACAUGACGACCCCGCGAUUCCCGGGCAAACGUUGGACUUGUCAAAGCUCCUAUUUACCCAAAGACGAUUUGCUACAUUAUUUGGAAAGUCAAUUUUGUGAACUAAUGCUAGAAUACCCUCUUCAAGUUUCUGCACUUUCUGGAAGACAGCUUGAUGCUAAAGUAAUUCACAUUGAUGAACAUUGGAACGUCAUUGAUGACGUAGAAACAUACGAAGUCACACAAUGCAAUGACACUUUAAAAGUCCCUUGACUUGAGCAAAGUAGUUGGUGGAGUUUCCGACUAAUUCAUGUCGGGCUUUCUAUCUUAUCCAUAUUGAUGGGCGGACUCACCAGCUUCUAGUGUUCUGAAAGAUUAUCGACGGGAAAGACGUUAGCUAGAGACGGCGAAGCUUAGUUUAUCUUAAGAACGUCGCCGGAGAAGCUUUUUGCUACACAAGCAACUCAAUGAUCAAGACACCGGGUAUUCACUACGGUGCCGAAUAGCACUCGACUUUUUUGGUAAUUCUCCCAUCCAACCGCACGUCCAACUCAAUGUAUAACGAUCCAAAUUUUGAUAGAGCAUGUACCAAUUAAGUAAUGGAGGGUGAGUUCGUGGGCCCUCAUGCUUCAAGAGGUGUUUCUAGUGACCAAUUGCCUAAUUAGCUAAAGCUUUUGCGGCAAAUAAAUCUUGGCAGGGUCUCUUUCGGCUAUAGUUCAGCAAAGGAAUAAUUGCCAAAUCAAAUCCUAAAUAUUUUGUACGGAUGCUAAUUUAGUCAUAAAACUUUUUAUGAAAUUGCAAUGUACUUAAUCGGAUUAAUUUUCACCGGAAAUCACGAAUGUAGAGGUUAAACUUUUUGCUAGUUGUCAACAUGGGAGGUUGCCAUGUUAGCUAUUUUUGGCAAAAAUUAGCUAAAUUGACUACAUUGGCAUUUCACGUAAAGAUUUAGGAUUGAAUUGACAAAAUUAAAGACAAUAAGUUUAUGACAAAUUGAGUAAUUUUCCUAUUCCACAAACCCUAGAAUAUACCACAGAAACACGUGUUGAAUGAGGAACAUUACAUGGCUGUUGUUGUAUGUGUGCCGUGGUAAAUCUAGAACAUCCAAAAGCGAUAGGGUCUCGUGUGCGCCCCUCCAGCCCCCUUGGUUUAGAAUGGACUUAGUAUGCAACACUGAGUUCAUUGAAUAAUUCUCCAUGGCAAUUAAGUGUGAACAUCGCAAUUGAUUCCACGACCUUUGUUUUUUUCUUCUUCUUUUUUUCCGCAUUUGAGACGUCUUUGGUGGUAAAAAAUUGGUUGAUCGGGUUUGGUUGGGGUGAUGGAAAUCGAUGAUGAAACGGACCUGAACAUGGUCAAUUCAAGGAAAGGAGAUUAUAACAAAUUCAGGCACGAAAGUUACAUUGGCUUCCGGCCAUUUAAAUAGAUAAAGCCACCAUUCAAGGUCGAGAAAAAGUCAACAGAGAAGCUUCCGAGACAUUAAAGAAGAAAGGGCAGGCCAAAGCUGAACCUCGAAAAGAAAAGUCCACGGUCAAAUUUGGAACGUACGGGAGAAACAAUGAGUUCAGCCCAACUGAUAAGUUUAUCGCCUCCAAGAACGAAUCAAAACCAUAAUGAAAGGUUACGUGCAUCAAUUUAAUAAUAAUUCCCAUAAUAAUCAUGAUGACGAUGAAGAUUAUGUAAAUAAACAUUUUGGAGGCAUUUGUUAAACAACAUUUUAAUAAAUUGGCCAAAAGCCCCCUAAAACCCUAAACUAUGUUUACUAUGACACAUUUACCCUAAUUUUUAUUAUAUAACACCAAAAAUCCCUAACUUGCACAUGUAUGACACAUUUACCCUCCAUAAAAAAUCUGUUAAUGAGACUAUUAAAAAUUUGCCUACAUUGAUGUUAGAAAGUAUACAGUGUGGACAUGGUGCCAAUAAUAAAAAUAACCUUUCUUAGGUUGACUAAUCAUCUAACAGAAAAGUAAAUAUAUCGCAUAGGUAUAAGUUUGCAUUUUUUUUUAUGUCACAAAAAAAUAGAGUAAAUAUGUCAUGGUGAGCAUAGUUUGGGAGUUUUUGAUAUUAUCAAUGACAAAAAAAAAAAAAAUACUCAGGAUAAAGGUGUCACAAUAGGCAUAAUUUGAGCCUUUUUUUUUAUUACUUUUUCCCUAAAAAAACUCACAGUUUCUAAAGCUUUAUCGUCUGAUGCACGAUUAGUUUUUGGGUAUUGCAUCGGUGGAGAGUUGUGAACCCUUGAGUCGGUCAAAGGAGACAUUGUUAGUCAAUUUGGAGUUUGAAACAAGUUUGUGACCCUGAAAUUUCGGAUCCUGACGACAGUGUUGCUUCCGCAAACUAUUGAGCUCAUCCAAGCAUAGAGUGAGAACCCUUUUCUAUCAGUAUCAAAAAGCGCAAAAAUGGCCAGGAAAGGUUUUGAAAAAUAUUAUAAUUAUAAGAAAGAUUACGACAAAUAUAUACGCAAUUGUUAAAAAAAAGGAGAAAACAUUCGCAUUUUCCCUUCGGAUCCUUUGCCUCAUAUGGUAUUUUCUUUUGAUGCAGUGGGUGAUUGAUUUCAAAACUAAUCUAUUUCGCAUGAGUUGAUAGUUGAGAUGUUGAAUAUACCGAAAUCGGGGACAUGAAUCGAGAUAGAGAAAGCUAAACUUUAGGUACUAUUUGGAAAAUAAUUUGCACGCGGGGUACUCAUUACUUGAGCAUCAAUUCUUGAAUUGGAAAUCAAAUGUCAGAUUCGCUGUGAAAUCAUGACCUUCGUUCGACCAAUGUUUCCAUUUCUCUCGGAUCUGAACUUUGGCUCACAUCUUACUAAGAUCAUGAAAUUGGUAGGGUAUUUCAAGGAUUAGAGUUUACCUUAAACAAAAUAUGGAUUUAUGUCAGUUAUGGACCCAAGAGUUAAGGGGGCGUCGCCUUUGGUACUCAAAGCGUUUCAUCGGCACGUAUGUUCUAAUGUUUAUGUUUUACUUUUAUAUCUCACCCUCCUUGGAUUAGGUUCUUGCAAAUAUUUGUCUUGUUCUUUAAGUUAAAUUUAUGUUUUUUCUCAUAAUCAUCAGCAUCAUCAUCAUUAUUGUAACAGCCUUCAACACGUCACUUUUUUUUUUUUUUUUGGCAUAGUCAAGUUCAUGAAUUCAAAAUGAUGUUGCACAUAAUAUAGUUUAUUGCCUCCAAGAUUGAAUCAAAACCCCAAUGAAAGGUUACAUGCAUCAAUUUUAUAAUAAUUACAAUAUUAAUCAUGACGAUGACGAAGAUUUUGUGAAUAAAUAUUUUGGAGGCAUUUGUCAAAACCCUAUUAAAAAAAUGGGCAAAAACCCUAAAUUAUACUAAAUGUCAUUCAUCCUAAACUUUUUCUGUGAAGCUAAAAAUUUGAAAUUUGUCUCAUGCACAAGUAAUUUCUUGGUAUUUGCAUCAUUCUAAAUUAAGCAUACUUACCUAGUUUUUCGGGACACUCGUCAGCGUCACCCUAAUAAUAAUUAUAAUAAUAGCAAUAACGAAACAGCUGUUGAUAUUGCACAGAACUAGACGAGAUGGAGACUUGUGAACGCUUGAGUCGGUCAAAGAAGACAUUGUUAGUCAAUUAGGAGUGUGGAACAAGCUUGUGACUGAGUCUGGAACGAGUCUGUGACCCUGAAAUUUCGGAUCUUGAUGACGGUGUUGCUCACACAAACUAAUGAGCUUAUCCAAGCAUAAAGUGAGAACUUUUCUUAUUAGAAUUCGUUUGAUAAUCAUUCCUUUCUCGAGAAUUAUUUUUAUUCAAAAAUAGUUUCUUCAAUUUUGCUCUCUGAGCAAAUUUUUAAGCAUUUGAACACGUUUGGUAAUUGUACAAAAUUUUUAUUCUUAAAAAAAUAAUGGGAAUGCGUUUGGUACAACUCUCAAUUUUUUUACAUAGAAUUUCUUUUAAUUUAUAAAUUUUUUUUCUUUUUUUUCUUUUUAUCUCUCUUCCUGUUCCUCCUCUAACUAGUCACCAACAAGGGUCUAGCGAGGUCGCCAAACCUCAUCUUUGGCCGGCCGCUAGCUAGUCACCAACAAGGGUCUAGCGAGGUUCCUCCUCUAACUAGUCACCAACGAGGGUCUAGCGAGGUCGCCAGACCUCAUCUUUGGCCGGCCGCUAGCUAGAGGAGGAAGAAGAAGAAAAGAAAAAAUAAAACAAAAAAGAAAAUGGCUUGAUUCUAGAAUUGUUGCCAACAACAUAUGAAUAACUUUUUUCUACUUCUUGGUUUUGUUCUACAUAUAUUCCUAGGAACAUUGUUCCCAGAAGUAGAAAAAUUUGCUAAUGUUACCAAAUGGAUUUCUUUUAUUUAUUUAUUUAUUUUUAUUUUUGCUCCUGAGACAAAAGAGCAAAAAUAAUCAACAAUUAGCUAGUUAUCAAACGGGCCCUUGGUAUCAGAAUGCACAAAAAUGGCCAAGAAAGGAGUUUUGAGAAAAUUAUAACCAGAAUAAUGUUUAUAGCAAAUAUAUAGGCAAUUGUUAAUCAAAAGGAAAAGAGAAAACAUUCACAAGUCAUCUUUAGAUCCUUUAUCCUAGGAAGCAUGGACACUAUCUAGGAGUUUGUGUCGUGUCAGACAAAUGUGGUCAAUAGAUGUCAGAAAAUCUGAUAUGUAGUCAACUCUCUUGACAUGCUCCGAUACAAAAGUUCAAAAAUCUGACACCCUAUUCUAACACACACAAGUCAAUUUUAAAUUUUUUUAAUAAACGAUGGGUCAAAAUUAUGACAUCCUAGAUUUUUAGUUUUGCUUUCAAUUUAAUAAAUCGGGCCUUUCAUCGACGCACUUAUAGUGUUAUUCUCAAAGCUGAUCACUCUUGAGAUAACUAGACUAUCUAGGGAAGUCAUUAAGGAAUUUUAAUACAAUAUUGGGAGUUCAACUAAGAAUCGAUUACUCGACCGUGCUCAUCUAUAGAAAUUAUUAUGGCACAGUUAAAAGUCGAUUAGAGAUCAGAGAUAGGUCGGUUCAAUAAAGAUGUGUGGCUAAACGUGGGCGAUUCCACUAAAUUACAAAAUUCUCGUCAUCCGGCACUAGAUUGAUUUUUCUAUUAUUUUGGUACCCUAUGUCCAUAUUUGAAACCUUGAGAUUUUCACGACCAUCGAGAGUCGCCAAUGUGUUGAAGAGGUUCAUUGUGGCUCGAAGAAAAUCGACCACAAGUCAUUUGUAUUAAAAAUUUCUGAAAGCUACCUGGUAGACUAGGUCUCGCUAAAAUCGCGCCUAAUUGAAAUUAACCACGAAUUUGAAUCUGAUUUCAAAAAUUGAAAGUUCUGUCAUGUCACGAGUCAUUUUAGGAACGUUGACUCACUCUCCAAAGAUUUUUCUGCAAAUCAAUAUUUUUGGCGAAAAGUCGAGAUAGGAUUGUUUUCUACCGGAAAUUCAGAAGACCAUUUUUUAUCACAAAUUUGGGAUGCAAGUAGGUUCUAAUGGCGAGGAAAAACACCAAUUUGAUUGAGAACUCGACGGUUGAAUUUUUAGAAGCCGAAUUGAGUUGAUCCAAGAGGCAAUUGAAGUCCAUUUCGGGGAAUUCCAAUCAAAAUUCGUAGCCUCCUUUGGACCCAACAUUUGGGCCAUUUCAAUAGCUUCUAGAGGAAGCUAUGGCUACUGGAAAAGAAGAUGAGGAAGCCAGCUGCAUGGUGGGGCCUUCCAAGGAGACCAAAGAGAUGAGAUGAGACAAAAGUGGUUCCCCCCCCCCUAGCAGCUGGUUCCCCCUUCCCUCUUCUUCUCCCUUGCCCAUUGAGCUCAUCCAUUUGCCGACCAAGAAGCCUUCAAAAAUUUCGAGAACACCGACCGGCAUCUCCUCCUCCCCCAUUGAUGCUGCUUGCCACUCGCCGGAGCCAUUGCAUGCCGUCGCUCGCGCUUGCAUGCCUGCAUGCGUUGCUCCACCCCUAUCGCUUCUAGCCACCUCCUUCUAGCCUGCUCGACAUCCCACAAAGCCCCUGGGUCGCCAGCUGGAGUUACCCGCCUGAGCUGCUGCAGCCCGACCGUCUCGCUUGGGCCGUUUCCAACUCAACCGCCUGCCGAAGCAAUCUCUUCAAUCAUCGAGCAGAAGCUGAAGCUAGUGGGUCUUAUAGCCAUUGUUUGGCCUGUUUUCGAGCCCUUCCGGACCUCGCUUGGUGGUCUCGUUUUGGAAUUUAUCAAUCCUCGCUGCGUCCCCGUCGUUGUGGUCCAAGCAGAUCAUUAAUCAAGUGAGUUUAAUUCACUAAUAAUUUCUUAAUAAGUUAGUGACGUUUAAAGGUUGAUUAAUUUAAUUUAAGUAUGGUUUAGGUAGAUAGUUAAAAUAGAUUAGCAAUUUAAUCAUUCAAUAUUGCAUGUUAGGUGGUUUGAGUAGUAUAAUUAGAGCCUAGAUAAGCUCUAGUAUUUAUCUAGAGUGGUUCAGAAAUUUUUCAGGCCUGUCUCGGCUUUUAAUUAGGCUUUUUCGGCCUAAGUGUGCAUUAUUGGUAUUUAUUAAUUAUUUUUCGUAAUUAAUUAAUUAUUAUUUUUUUCGAAAAUUAGACCGGGAUAGUCAGUGACCGGAAUUUUAUGCUUAUUGCAAUGGUGUGAUUAAAUUAUUUAUUUGACUAUUAUUUUGUGCAAAUUGAGUGUGAUUUAUGAUUUUGGGUAUUUAUCCCAAAAUUUAUUAAUUUUAGUAUUUAAUUAGAAAAUUACCAGGUGUCGGUUUACAGCGCCAAAAAUGUUUUGUGAACUACUGAAAAUAGUGGGAUUUUAUAAAAUAAAGAUAUUAUAUUUUUGGCUCAGACUGACCGUGUACCCACACAUGAUUAUUUUUAUCGGGUAUUUUUAACACGAAAAAAAUAGGCCAGGACAUUAUUUUAGUUAAGGAAUUCAAGCGGGAAGCUCAAUGUCCUUGGCCAUGAAUGAAUAAUUGUGUGAUGGUUUAUAGUCAUGGUAAGAGGAUUAUUGAAGGGUGAGGUGAUGUAUGUUGUCGUGACGUUAUGGAAUGGGUUAAGAAAACCGCCAAAACAGGCUAUGCCUAUAGGGCUGUGAUUAACCACUGAAGCAGGCUAUACCUAUAGGGCUAUGAUUUACCGCCUAAUUUGGAAUAGGCUGUACCCAUCGAGCUAUGAUUUACCGCUAGACAUUUAGUAGGUUGUGCCCGUGAGUGGCUGUGAUUAUAAUUGAAAUGAGUAUUUGAUUGUGAUUUAUAAUGAGACGUUCCAAUCGAUGAAUGAUGUUAUUGCAUGUAUGAGAUAUGAAUUACCGACGUGCAGGAAGGAACUGAGGCAAAGGUAAGUCUUCUAACUCGUGCUUGUGUUUAAGCAACCCUUGGGGCGUAUUUUCUUCAUAAACGAGGCUUAGGGGAUUGAACUUGCUGAAACGUCAUCUCACCCCAUCAUGGGAUAAUAAUUUCAGGUCUUUAGAUGGCAACUCCUCUUAAGCAUUGGUCACGGAGCAAAAGUGUUUCAUUUCGCUUCAUGGAAGCCUAAGGGGUUGGGUAUAUGAGUUGGUGAGGUCCAUGGUCUGGGUUGAUGCGGAUCUACCCAAAAAGGUGCCCCAUCGAUACAAAUCAUGGUAUCGUCAGGAGUGGAAUGGACAAAGAGAGGGGCCCAUACUAGAGUAUGAGAUUCCUCUAUAUAUACUAGAGGUUGCUUUUGGGUAAAGUACAGUAGAUCCCCCUGAAGAUUCGGUGGUAAACCCGGUAGACUCGGAUCUUGCAGAUCUAAGAACCCCAGUGUACUCAGCUGAAGGCUCCAAUGUGUAUGACGAGGAGGAUGAAGAUUUGUAGUUUAGGAAACCCCCCCUCUUUUGCAAACUUUGUUUUUAUAAAUUGGUAUUGUAUAUGACAUGACUUGAUAUAUGUAUAUAUAAGCGUGUUGUAGUUUGAAAAAUUAUAGCCCUACUUCUCUAUCCCAUUUUGUUUGUUGUCUGGGGAAAUUAUUUAUUUGUUUCCGCAUGCGCAUUAAAAUGAAAGGGUCGGCGAUGCGUCAUAGGACGUCACUUUUUAACCGACCGUAGAUGAAUGGGCACGUGCUCGGAGGAUCGGGGCAUGACAAAAAAUAAAAUAUAUAAAAAAAUAAAUAAUAAUAAAAAUAAUAAAGGGUGAAAGAUGAAAAACCCUAAUUUCUUUCUAACUUCCAUUCCACACAAUUUUCCGCCCUCUUCUCGUCGGUCUCUCUCUCUCAUCGAUCGAUUCUAGUGGAAAGGAACUCAAAUUGAUCGAUUAAUCGAUCAAGGUAGGUAGGUGUCCAUUCCUUUGUCAAUCGCUUCAUGAGAAUGGGUAUUUUUUUAUUAUUAUUAUUGAAGUUGAGCUUUGGAUUUUUUAUAUUAUUGGAAUAGAAUGUAGCUAAAUUUGUUAAAUUGAAACAAUUAAUGUUAUUAACAAAUGGUGGAUUAAUAUUUUAAGUGUAAAUUCAUUCUAUGCAUUAUUUUUAUUAUUUAUUUAUUUAUGAAAUUGAAUCUAAUUAAUUUGAUUGAAAUAAUUAUAAAAAUGAUAAUUUAUCAUGUAUAUAUAAAAAUAUUCAUUUAAUAUACAACGUGUUUCAAAGUGUCGAAAUCCUCUAUUUUUUACAAAUGACAUGUUGAUGUGUUAUGUCGUUUCGUAUCGCAUGCCGCAUGUUAAUGUUGGCACUACUUAGCCUCUACCUCAUAUGGUUUUCGUUUGAUGCAGUGACCGAUACAUUUCAAAACUAAUCUCUUUCGCAUGAAUUGGUGAUUGAGAUGCUGGAGAUACCCGGCAAGUCCAGAUAGAAAGGGCUAAACUUUGGGUACUACUUGGAAAAUAAUUUAUGUUCUCGAACUUCAAUUCUUAAAUUGGAAAUCAAACGUCGGAUGCGCUGUGAAAGGAUGACUUUCAUUGGACCAAUGUUUCCAUUGCUCUCGUGCUUACUUGCUGUAACUAUUCAAUGCCUGCAAAUCGUGGGAUGACUUGGAGGUAUUCGAAAGCUAUUGCUCUUACUGAGUUUACUAUAAUUUCUACCAAACUUAUCUAUUUCCCUUCAAUUAUUUUCUCCUUGUCCAAACAUACUGAGAACAUUAGUCCUUCCCUUUCUCUUCUUUGGUGAUUACUAAAGCGCUCUUGUUUGCAAAAGUAUACAUCGAUCAUUGAUAGCGCAUCAUAAUUAUCGAUUAAAGAGAAGUAUAUACUGGAAAUCUAUGUAUUUGAACUAACCUGUGGAGUUGCUUAGUGAUUAGGGGACAAAUUUGAGGGUGGCUCAAGAACACAGCACAGGUUCAAUAUUUCAUACCAUCAAGUACAAACCAUUUGCAAUGGCUUGUGAUGCGUGUUUAGGUUCAACUUCCUCAUCACCAUUGACAUGUAAAAACGCAAACAUCAAUAUGUUCAAAGAAUACACAUCAUGUACCUGUGAGGAACUCAGAUAUAGACCUAAAUCUAAAUCAAGAGAGUAAAACCUUAAAUCUAGACCUAAAUCUAAAUCGAGAAAGGAGAGCAAUCUAAUUUCGAAGAGAUUGUGGAACCACGUCAGGACCAUUCUCCUUGGUGGCUGUCGACCGGACUAAUGGCUGAAUUGGUCUCUACGUUCACCCAAUAUCAGCCGCAGAAAUUUAUUCACACAAAUUCCCAAAACAAUAUGGAGAGAAAAGAAAAGACAAUCAAAGAGCAAGUAGGCUCCCAGCUUCGGAAACUAAAGCUGAAAGCCUACAGGAGAGCUUCAAAAGAGGGACGAGUUUUUAAGAGAUGAGGCAUUUUUGGGUAACUAAUGGUUCCUUCCUUCACAGGUUGAAAAAAAAAGGACCACGGAUCAGAGUUUACCCUAACGAGGCGUCGCCUUUGGUAUUCAAAGCGUUUCGUCAACAGGUAUGUUCUAAAGUUCUUUUUAUAUUUUUAGGAUAUUUUAGGGUUAAUAUUAUUUUUAAAAAAAACUUAAAUUGGUACGCGACAAAUUUACCUUAAACUAAUUUUUUGACAAUAAAAAAUCUCAAACUAAUAUAUCUGUAACAAAACUUACCCUCCAUUUGCCACGGGUGUUCCAUUUUGUAUUUUUUUUUUUUUUGCGAUAUUAAUCAAAUUUAACGGAAACAACUUAGGGUACUCUAUUACAAAUGUGCUGGUUUAAGAUUUUUUAUAGUCAAAUAAUUAGUUUUGGGUAAAUCUAUUAUAAGUGUACUGGUUUUGGAUUUUUGUGAUCAAAAAAUUAAUUUGGGAUAAAUUUAUUAUAAAUGUACUAAUGUGUGAUUUUUGGUAAUCAAAAAAAUAGUUUGAGGUAAAUUUGUCAUAUAUGUUCCAAUUUGAGAUUUUUCGUGGUUUCAACCCUAUAAUUUUAUAUCUCACACUUCUUGGAUUAGGUUAACCACCUAGAGGGUAUUCUCUCCUCCUAGGAAAGAAAAAGAUAUAGAGGGGAAUUUAGGGGAGUUAUAUGUGCGGGCAUUGGCACGUAAAAUAAGGAACGUAAUGCCAUUAAUCCACCUAAGUUACUAGGUAGGUGGGAUGGCCCCAACUCUGAGGUGAAAAUGUCCUGAGGAUCCAAGGCUACCCCCGGUUAUAUGGUUUCCAAGUAACCCUAGUAACCUUUGUAUCCUUGGUUCUUGGUUAGACGUUACCUCAUAAAUGAAGGGAGUGUUAACUCCUACAAGGGUCUCCAUGGCUUGUUCGUCUGAUAUAUAAGGACAACGGGUUCCAAUGAUGUGUUCUUUAUUUUAACGUGUUGGAGCCUGCAUGCCUCACACCUCUAAUUCCCUCUAUAUUUUUUUCUUCCUCAAAGAGUGUGAAUACCCUUUUGGUGUUUAGCAUCUGAGAGAUGCUGAAGUCCACAUGAGACCUCAGACAAAGCAAUUCUAGGUCAUACUCUAGAUCAAUCUUAUAGGGAGGUUCUUGGCCAAUAUGUUUUUCCUAGCAUGGGAGCUGCCAAUACCUCAGAAGUUUAAAGUCAUUGAAGCACUUUAACAUAGGGGUCAGCCAUCACAACUUGACUAGUACACCCCCACCAUAGAGUGUUCUCUUUAUUGUUAUGGUAGUUUUCUAAGGACAUGCUCAGGUUCAUUCUUAAAUCAGGUUAAUGCAAAUAUUUGUCUUGUUCUUUAAGUUAAAUUUAUGUUUCGUCUCAUGAGACCAUCAGCAUCAUCAUCAUUAUUCUAACAACUUUCAACACGUCACCUUUCCUUGCAUAGUCAAGUUCAUGAAUUGGAAAAGAUGUUGCAUAUAAAAUAGUCGUAUUUGAAUUUAAACGCCGAUGGAAUUCUUUGCACAUCUCCAUUAAACCUGGGACAGUUUUGAUAUAAGGUAAAAUCUACAACUGUUAAAAGAUUGCAAAUUUUCCAUUUCAUCCGUAUAACCAGUAUAUUGAGCGAAACCGAAUGCAUCAAGGUGGUUUUUUUCCCUAUAGAUCGAAGCUAAUGGUGUAGACAAAGGAGGUGGGGGAUAACCAUCCCCAGAAACACUGCACAUUUCCUUCGUGAGAUGCCUAGCUGGCAAGUUGGUACGAUUAUCGGCUUUUUCUGUUAAUUAAUCAAAACUGGGUACUUCCGAAAUCCUUCACUAACUCUAGGAUUUCAGUGACUGCGCAUUUCCUUUUGAUGAACGAGUUGUGGGGCUUUGAAUUUGGGCUGCUGCAGCAUCGGUUCUCAAAUCAGACGUUUUACUGUUCUGGCUAUGUUUACAAUUGCGCAUUCUUAUUUGUUUGACGUCCCAUUGAACUUGGAUUUCGAUUCAUGGAAGUUGAUAGCCCUCAAGUGGUUGCAUUCGAAAUGCUUCAAAGUUUGACUCUAUUAAGCUUGACUCUCGAGAGUGCAGGAAGGAUUUUAAUGCAAACCAUCUCAUCAUAAUAAUAAAAUUAAAAAAAAAAAAAUCAACCCUUUGUCCAUGGAGAAAACAGAGUGAAGAGGAAAUUAACGAAAGAAGGUGCGCAUGCACUUCCCAUUUGUGCUUCUUCAGUGUUGGCUUUGCUCUUAGAACUUGUUAUGACGAGCUAGUCGGGCCUCGGGUGCUAUCAUUGUCGUUUUUCUGUCUCUCUAGCUCCAGCUCGAAUGACUGCUGUUCCUCUCUAUUGUCGUCGCUCUCUAGUUUAGUUCCCUGCAGGCAUCAUCCUUACCAGAAAUGUCUCCCGGAUUUACUUCCUUCUCGAAUUUCAGCGCCACAGCGGGUAGCAACUGCUCUCGACAAUCGCAUGAUUCAAAAGAUUUCGGGACUGGUACGAUAUAUGUGGACUAAAGAGGGACCAAAUUGACGUAGAAUCAUCAUUGAAGGCAGCAUCUUUUCAGCAAAUGCAGAAUUUUUUUUUCAAAGAAUGCUGGUACUCAGCGCGUAAAAGAUUAUAUUUCUUGAUAAAAAAAGACUAAAAAUAAAAGUUUAAACUAGCCUCUCUCUCUUUUUUUUUUAAAGUAUUUCUUUUGUGCAUUUUGCCUCGUGCACAUUUUCUAAUAUAUAUAUUGUCGAGGGAACCUUAUUUACGUAUAUUUCACAAUUUCUGUCUCCUUUUUCAAAGGAAAUAUUCGUCUGUUUGAAGACCGAGUUAGAUCGAGUAUUAUAAGGAUAAAGUGUGAUCCGAUCAGCUACAAGUCGAUACAAUCACAUUACAUAAAAAUGAGUCGAGGUUAGACCUGAUUUCGAUCCAUCCAAAUCCGAUCCGAUUACAUAAAAAAUUGGAUUCUUUCUCCAACACUCUCUCUCAAGCUGGCGGCCUAUAAAUGUCAAGAGUGCCAAGCUUGCUCAACAAAUAUCUAUGUUGUCUCUAUCAUAACGGCUUAGUGAAGUAUAUACUGGCUAUUAUAUAGUCCUAAUUCCUCUAAGUUGUAACAAUGCUGUUGGAGAAAUCUUUCUGGAAUAUUUUGAAGUUGACAAAACGAUUCUAUCAGUCUAGUCUGAAGUUUUGCAGACUCUUCUAUUAAAGUCUGAAGACCUUCGGACUACCAAACUCAAGACUCAAAGUUUAUUCUCAUUGACAGUUUCUAAUCCGUUGAAGAAAGGCUAUCCAAAACUGCUUUAUUAAGGAUUUGGCCUUAUUGACUGGAGAAGAUCUCUUGGUUGGAUAUGACAUAACGGAUUCCUUUAUUCAAAUCAAGAAUGAUUAAAGAUUCGAUGAUUGGCGAAGUAUUAUUGGAAGGUUCUACUUAUGGAAACCAAGAUCCUGAUUAUAUGGGCGAGCAGGAUUGAUGGGCUAUCGACAUGUUCCUUUAAUAGCUCGAAUGAUCUUCCUAAUUGAUUCUGUCCAACGGGAGGAUUGGAAGAAUUCCUUUGGUAGUGCCAACGGGUAUGAUGGCACAAAGGAGUAUAAAAGGAAGACGUUCCAGUUGUUCGAGUGUGUGCACGAUAGAAGAAUUCCAAAGUCUGAAACUCUUUGAUUCUUAGUCAAUUCACUUACUGAGCGAAAUCUUGUACACAAAAGAGAGUCUAUAUUUUGAGAUACCUUGAGGAAGUGUGGUAGAAUAUCUACAUUGUGGAAUCAAGGGAAAGUAGUGCUGUAACAUCUCUUUUGUUCAUAAUGAAAUCCAGCCAGUGGGCUGUCAAUGCAAAAGAGUGGACGUAGGCUUGGAAUAAGCCGAACCAUUAUAAACCUUGUGUUCAAUUUUCUCUUCCCUACUCUAUGCUUUACUUUGAUCAUAGUUUGAUUUGUUAACUAAAGGAGAGCUUCCUUUCUGUUGUUUGUCUAGUAUUGCUUUCAUAUCUUGAGAAAUUAUUUUUACACCUAUUCACCCCCUCUAGGUGCUUAUACUAGCUAUAUCAAUUGGUAUCAGAGCUUGUGUACUCACUUUGUUUGAAGUGUUGUACUUCAGAGUUAAAGAUCCAUGGCUAGUAUGCUAGCUCCAGGGCUGGUGGAAGGGCAAAGCAAUACCAGACCACCUUACUUUGAUGGAAAAGAUUAUAACAUCUGGAAAAACAAGAUGAAAGCGUUUCUACGAUCAAAGGAUCCUCUGGAAUUGGACUUGUAGAAAAAUGAAUCACUCCUAAAGCUGCAUCUGUCACAGAGAGAGGAAAAGAAACUGUUGAGUCAAGUGAAAUGACUCAGGAAGAGAUAAUCAAGAGACAAGCUCUUGAUGCAAAAGCAAUUUAUUCUUUAUAUUGUGCUUUGUCACCUACUGAAUAUAAUAGAAUAUCUUCUUGUGUUACAGCAAAAGAAGUCUGGGAUAGAUUACAUAUCACCUAUGAAGGAACUGAUCGAGUGAAAAAGACCAGGAUCAACAUUCCCCUCGGUCAAUAUGAAGCCUUCAAAAUGAAAUCAGGAGAAUCUAUAACUGACAUGUUUAGUCAUUUUAUAGAAAUCGUGAAUGGUCUUCAAAAUCAGGGUCAACUAAUUUCUGAUCCCAUGAAGGUAAACAAGUUACUACGUGGAUUCUCCAAGGAUUGGAAUCACAUAAAGACCUCAAUUAGAGAGACGCAGAGAAUCAUGCCACUAUCUGUCGAUGAGUUGGUUGGAACUCUUCAGUCUUAUGAAGUGGAACGAAUCAAUAAAGACAAAGAUCCUAAAGGUAAGAAAUCAAUUGCAUUAAAAUCCAAUGAUGAUUUUGAUGUCACAGAUUCUGAAGACGAUAUGGAUAAUGAGGAGCUUGCUCUCAUGAUAAGAAGAUUUAGAAAGCUGAACAGAAAAGGAAGAAGAUUCAAUCCAAAGAAACAGAGUUUUCAAAACUAACAGACCAAGUCUGUUGAUGAUAAUGAAUCAAACAAAGAUGUAGUUUGCUUUGAACGUAAGAAAAAUGGACACAUCAAACCCAACUGUCCUCUUCUGAGAAAGAAGAAAGGAAAAGAUGAAAAGAAUCAAAAAGCUCUUAAAGCAGAAACCUGAAGUGAUACAGAGUGUGAAGAAAGUGAUGAUGAUUAUGCCAAUAUAUGUCUGAUGGCACAAUCGGAUUUAGAAUCAAACUCCGAGACAGACUCAGAUUCAGACAGUGAAUUUGAGGUAAGUAACUUUAAAAUCCCUGUUAAAGUUUCCAAAUACAUUGAUGAGCUAUGUUUUAGUCUUAAGACUUCUCUUAAAAGGAUUUCCGAACUUAAAAAUGAAAACUCUGCACUAAAACAACAGGAAAAUGUUUUGAAAGAAAAGUUGAAACAUUUAGACAUGAAUGUUUCUACUCUUAAAGAAAGCAAAGAUAAUCUCUUGAAAGAAAAUGCAUUUUUAAAAAAUGACUUAUUAAAUAUUUCAAAAAGAUUUUCAAUAGGAUCUCAGAAACUUGAAAAAAUUCUUUUAGCACAAAGACCUUAUUUCAAUAAAUCUGAUUUAGGAAUGACAGCAGAAACCAUUCCUUUAAUUGAUUUUCCUAAAGUGAAGGAAAGAAUUAAGCAAAGAACUCCAAAGACAUUUUACAAAAAUCAUUUUCAAAAAGUGUUUGUAAAACCAGUUGGUCGAAAUGCUCUCAGAUGUUCAAAGUGCAAUAGUACAGAUCAUUUUGAAAAAGAGUGUCCUAUGGUUUGGAAACCUGUUAAGAAAGUAUGGGCAAAAACCGCAUAUCAUACUAACACCAAUGGAUCCAAAAAAAUAUGGGUACUAAAGAAAGCUUGAGUCUCUUUUUUAAAUGCAAGUCACUAUCAAGAAAAAGGUAAAAUGGUAUCUAGAUAGUGGAUGCUCAAGACAUAUGACAGGAGAUUCAAAUUGCUUCAUAAAGCUCGUUCAAGUAAAUGGUAGAAAAGUCUCAUUUGAAGGAAACAACAAAGGAAACAUUGUGGGAUUUGGAACUGUAAAGAUUGGAAACCUUACAAUAAGUAAUGUUUCCCUAGUGGAAGGACUCAACUACAAUCUGCUCAGUAUCAGUCAGCUAUGUGAUACUGGUUUCAAAAUCAACUUUCAAGAGGGAAUAUGUUUAGGAACCAGUAAAGAUUCUACUCAGUCAUUCAUGGGCCGAAGACAUGGAAAUAUCUACCUCUUGGAUGUGAAACCAGAUGAAUCACAAUGUCUAAUCUCAAUUCAAGAUGAAGCGAGCUUAUGGCACAGAAAGCUUGGGCACAUCAAUAUGAAGCAGAUAGCCAAAAUUUCAGCAAAGAAGCUUGUUCGUGAUCUACCCAAAUUGUCAUACCAAAAGUCUGAUCUAUGUACACCAUGCGUAUUGGGAAAGCAGGUCAGAAAUUCCUUUAAACCAAUAAAUUAAGUUUCCAUUAAUCGUAUACUACAGCUUCUGCAUAUGGACCUUUUCGGACCAACCAGAACUUAGAGCAUUGGAGGUAAGAAAUAUUGCCUAGUAAUUGUGGAUGAUUACUCACGAUUUACUUGGGUAUAUUUCCUGGCAAGUAAGUCUGAAACUUUCUCUUACUUUGAAAAGUUUGCUAAAAAUGUUCAAAAUGAAAAAGGGUAUGUUAUCUCAAGUAUAAGAACAGAUCAUGGAGGUGAAUUUGAAAAUCAAGAUUUUACAAAAUUCUGUGAUGAAUCUAGUUUUCAGCAUGUGUUCUCCUCUCCAUAUACUCCAGAGCAAAAUGGAGUUGUGGAAAGAAAGAAUAGAUCGCUUCAAGAAAUGGCUAGAACUCUUUUAAUUGAAAGUAACAUCUCUUUACGAUUUUGGGCUGAAGCAGUUUCAAUAGCAUGUUAUAUUAUCAAUAGAGUUUUUCUAAGGCCUAUUAUGGAAAAAACCCCAUAUGAGUUAUUCAAAGGAAAUAAGCCUAUUGUUGCAUAUUUUCAUGUAUUCGGAUGCAAAUGCUUUAUAUUGAAAAAUGCAAAUGAUAGAGUUGGUAAGUUUGAAGAAAAAUCAGACGUAGGCAUCUUCCUUGGAUAUUCUAUCUCAAGCAAAGCCUAUAGAGUCUAUAACAAUAAGAGUCAAUCUGUGGAGGAAUCAAUAAAUGUCAAAUUCUAGGAUUCUAUGCAAAAUGAAUCCGCUCAGACUUAUCUUGAAGAAUCUGAACCUGCUCCAGACUCUACAAAGUCCAAAUCUCAAGAAGCAACUCAGACUUUGAAAAAUCAACAACAAAUGGUUAUUGAAGAUUCAAAUGAAGGAAGUGAUCAUCAACCUGACAAAUCAACCAGUAACUUUGGAAGCAUAAGUCCAGUCAUCCCAAAGACCUCAUUAUUGGCGACAAUAAUGAAGGAAUUCGCACAAGAUCCAAAAGGCGCGAAGAGUCUAGUGAUGUGGCUCUUAUUUCUGAAAUAGAACCAAAAAGCAUAGAAGAAGCUUUAUCUGAUGAAAGCUGGAUUGAAGCUAUGCAAGAAGAACUCAGACAAUUCAGUAUUAAUGAUGUCUGGGAGUUGACUCCUAAACCAAAAAGUAAAUCUAUUAUUGGAGCUAAAUGGGUUUUCAGGAACAAGAUGAACGAAAAAGAUAAAGUCAUAAGAAACAAAGCAAGACUCGUGGCCAAGGGAUAUACGCAAGAAGGGAUAGACUAUGACGAGACUUACGCACCAGUAGCAAGGUUAGAAGCAAUUCGAUUAUUACUUGCUUUUGCUUCUUAUAAGAAUUUCAGGUUAUUCCAAAUGAAUGUCAAAAGUGCUUUCCUGAAUGGAUUUAUUCAUGAGGAAGUCUAUGUGGAACAAUCCCCUGGGUUUGAAGACCCAAGGAAGCCAGACUUAGUAUUCAGACUGAAAAAGGCAUUGCAUGGAUUAAAGCAAGCACCUCGAGCUUGGUACGACAGGUUGAGUAAGUUUUUAAUUCAAAAUGGCUUUGAAAAAGGUAAAGUAGACACUACUCUGUUUAUCAAAAGAGAAAGCAAAAGUUUUCUGCUUGUUCAAAUAUAUGUUGAUGAUAUCAUUUUUGGAUCCUGUAAUGAAAGUUUGUGCAAGAAAUUCUCUAAGUCUAUGCAGGAUGAAUUUGAAAUGAGCAUGAUGGGUGAACUAACCUUCUUUCUUGGACUUCAAGUGAAACAAUUGAAGGAAGGGACUUUUAUUCAUCAAGAAAAAUAUGCUAAUGAUCUUGUCAAAAAGUUUGGACUGGAAAAUUGCAAAAAGACUGAUAUACCAAUGUCAAGUUCCUUGAAGAUAGACAAAGAUGAAGGAGGAAAGAAAGUUCUCACUUCUUUAUCUUACUGCUUCUAGACCUGACAUUUUGUUUAGUGUUUGCAUUUGUGCCAGAUUUCAAGUAGACCCUAAAGAAUCUCAUCUAAGUGCUGCAAAGCGUAUUAUCAAAUACAUUGCUUCAACUUCAAGCAUCAGUCUUUGGUAUCCUAAAAAGAGAGACUUUACUCUCCUUGAAUAUUCAGACGCAGAUCUAGCUAGUUGUAGAGUUGAUAGAAAGAGCACCUCGGGUACCUGUCAGUUACUUGGAAGCAGGACAGUGUCUUGGUUUUCAAGGAAGCAAAAUACAGUAGCUCUUUCUACAGCAGAAGUAGAGUAUGUAGCUCUUGGAAGUUGUUGUUCACAAAUUCUGUGGAUAAAGCAACAGCUAAGAGAUUUUGGGAUUGAAGAUUCAUGCACGGAGAUUAACUGUACACCAGUGCAAUCAAUCUUACCAAAAAUCCAAUUCUUCACUCAAGAGCAAAGCAUAUAGAGAUUCGACAUCACUUCAUUAGAGAUCAUGUUCAAAAUGGAGAAGUUUCAAUUCAAUUUAUUGACUCAAAGAACCAACUGGCGGAUAUAUUUACAAAGCCUUUGGAGAAAAAUCAAUUUGAAAUCAUCCGUUCCAGACUCAACAUCUUGAAGCUUGAAGAAGUUAAAGUCGAGAGACUCGUAGUCUCAAACAAUCAUGGUUCUUGACUGUAAGUUAUUUUCUCUUAUAUUAAAUCUCGUAAAGGUACGAUCAUUUAUCCAUUCAUAAUUGAUUUAUGCUAUCUUCAAUUUCCGUGAAAAGUGCAAUUUUUUCCUUUUCAAAAAGAGUUAAUGGCAGUUAUCUAUUUUUGAAAAAGGCAGUUAUUUUUUUAAAGGCAUCUUUUAACCUUCCUUUACGACGUUUAGCAUUCUCCCAUUUCGACUAAACGAUAUACAGUCGAUUCCUCUUCACUUAACUCCAAAAUCCUAAGAAGCAUCGAUCCUCCAUUCAUGUCUUCCUCCCUUGUUUAAUCUUCGAAAAAGUUGUCAUCUUUCUUGGGAAAGUCAAGCAAGGAAUCUUUCGAAGACUGAGAAAGAUGUCGUCUUCAAGAAAGUCUUCGAGAAUCGCAAGCAGGGGACCAUAGCGAAUGAGUGAGGGGCCUACUCACUUUGAUCUCACCGAGGAAGAGGAGUCACCAAGUCAGUAGCAGAGCCCACAACAUUCUCAGUAGCGUCAUUCUCCACCAUCUAGUCCACAGGAUGCUGGUCAUCAAUAAGAGGAAGAAAUCAUUGAAGACGCAGAUCCUGUAAGAGUUCAAAAGCCCUCUUUUAUUUAUAAGCUUUACCGUGCGUUAAAGAUCACUAGCACUCCAUUGAACUACAUCGAUGAGUUUCUUAAGGACAAACGAUAUGGGAAUGAGUACAUCUUUUUGCGAAAAAUGGAGAGUUUGGAAAUUGCUCCUAAGGGGUUGGCAGAAAAAACCCUUGCAAAUAUCCCAAGUGAUCCGCGUGUUGGGGGAUUUAAUCCGAUAAAUGGGAAUGAUGAUGACAGAUUGUACAGCCAAUUUCAACCGAGAAUGGGUGUUGUGGCGAAAAUUUGAGGAAAAAGAACAGAGUUGUUUAGAUCGAAGGAACAGAAGGAUCUAUACUCCAAAUUGUUGAAGCGUGGGGUGAUAAACCCUAGGAGUGUGGAUUUUGAUUUCCUUGAUGCUGUGAAUGUCAAUUUGAGGGAAAAGUUCAGUUUUUUUUCAACUUGAACAGUUCUGUUCUGACACCACAGAAGCCUAUGCUCAAUUAACUGCAUAUUUCUAUUCAAAUCUUAGUUUCAUGGAUGCGAAUAGAAUCUCUUUCAGUGUCCGAGAUCAGGACUUUGUAGUGGAUGUGGAUAUGUUGGCGGAUGUUAUUGGGGUUGAGAGAGGGAGAUAUCAAUCCAUCAGCGUCUCUAUAGCUUGUGCCACAUGGAAACUUGUUAAAGACAAAAGGACAGAGGGAAGGAUUUCCUAAUCAAGGAUGCGUGCGUUCAACAUUCUGCUUCACAAGAUUGUGAUAAAUUGCCUCAGACCGAAAUCAACUUCCAAGACUGAUGUUUCUAACUUAGAGGCAAAGCUGAUGUACGCCAUCAAUGCUGGGAAAAAGUUUUCUCUUCCUCACACUAUUCUGUUCCACAUGUAUAGAGCAGUGGUGAAGGACAAGGGCCAACUUCCUUAUCCAGGUCUUGUGUCAAAGAUAUUCAGACAUUUGAAUAUUCAGCCUCCACAAAUUCUCUGUGUUCGACCAUGUGACAAAAUGGUGGUAUGAUUGAAAAUGGUGUCCAAAAUGUGUCUGAAAGAGCUCGACAAGGCAUUAGAGAAAUUUAAGGAGAAAACCCCUGUCAAAUCUCAUCAAGUCUCUUCUGCAGCGAAAAGAAAAGGGAAGGAGCCCAUUGUUACUCCAUCCAAAAAGAGAAAAGCUCUCAUUACUGAUGAAGAUGAUGAGGAUGACCUCACAAUUUCUGCUAUAGCAUUGAAGAAGCUGAGUCGUUCUGUUCUAGAAUCAAUGGAAUGACAGGAGAAAGAAGCAUAUUAGAGAGAAGAACAGGAGAAAACAGAAGAAGAAAUAGAAGCAGAGGAGAAUGAAGAAAAUGAGAAAGAAGCUGAAGAAAAAGAAGCAGAGGAGGAAAGGUUUGAAGAAGAAGAAGAAGAAGAAAGAGAAAAUCAAGAGGAAUGAGAGCAUGAGGAACACUCUUCUCCACCUGAAGUCAUGAAAACCAGGGGGAGAUGGUGAGAACAGAGGAAUGUCCUCAUAUCUUGUUAUCAGUGAAGGAGUCAGCCGUUCUCCAGCAGAUCCAGAAGACAUUCAUGCCUCUCAAUUUCCUGAGGAGGGACUUGAUGCUUCAUCGCCAAGUCUGUGUGAUUAUGCUGAUAUACCAUUGUCUGCCUUUACUCCAUCAUAUCUUGCCGAAGCCAGUACGCAGACUGAUAACUCAGCAGAUUUUUGCAGAAUCAUUGAUGUUCUUUUGGAAAUGCGGGGUCAGAUAUAUGCUUUGGAAAGCGAAGUUCAGAACUUGAAGAAUGCAGGACAAACUUCUUUCGUUUCAUUAUCUGAUCAGAUCCAAGCCCUUGCUCUUUAGAUUCAAGCCAAUGCUAAAGGUGAAGAGGUGGAUCAACUGAAGGAAGAAUUGAAAAAGCUGGAAGGCAUCAUCCAGUUCAUGGGAGAUUUCUAGCUUGUUCGCAUUCCCAAGCAAACUUGACUCCAUUCUAUUCCCAUCUCAACCUCUCUCUUUUUUUUAUGACAAAAAGGGGGAGAGAUGCGAGAUUUGAAAUCUUUGAACUUAAACUUGUUGAAUUUUCAGUUUGUUUUGAUGUUUGACUUGUGUGUCUGUGUCUAGAUGAGGAUUGACUAAACGUGGAUUUGGAUUUGACUGCUGCUUAUAUUAAGUACUAUUGAUAUCUUAUGAAUGGCUUUACUCUCAUGCAAGACUAACCUAUUUUUUGUGGUUACAUAUUCUAGUGUUAUCAUUAAGCCAUUAAUCUUUAUGAGAUAUCCAUAUUUGCUUGAGUAAUAUUUUGCAGGUAAGAGUUAUUCAAAUCUGCAGGAAAGUUUUGUCACCAUCAAAAAGGGAGAGAUUGUUGGAGAAAUCUUUAUGGAAUAUUUUGAAGCUAACAAAAUGUUUCUAUCAGUCUAGUCUGAAGUUUUGCAGACUCUUCUAUUAAAGUCUGAAGACCUCCGGACUACCAGACUCAAGACUCAAAGUCUAUUCUCAUUGACAGUUUCUAAUCCGUUAAAGAAAGGCUAUCCAGAACUGCUUUAUUAAGGAUUUGGCCUUAUCGACUGGAGAAUAUCUCUUGGCUAGAUAUGACAUAACGGAUUCCUUUAUUCAAAUCAAGAAUGAUUAAAGAUCCGAUGAUUGGUGAAGUAUUCUUAGAAGGUUCUACUUAUGGAAACCAAGAUCCUGAUUAUAUGGGCGAGCAGGAUUGAUGGGAUAUCGACAUGUUCCUUUAAUAGCUCGAAUGAUCUUCCUAAUUGAUUAUGUCCAAUGGGAGGAUUGGAAGAAUUCCUUUGGUAAGUGCAAACGGGUAUGAUGGCACAAAGGAGUAUAAAAGGAAGACGUUCCAGUUGUUCGAGUGUGUGCACGAUAGAAGAAUUCCAAAGUCUGAAACUCUUUGAUUCUUAGUCAAUUCACUUACUAAGCAAAAUCUUGUAUACAAAAGAGAGUCUAUAUUUUGAGAUACCUUGAGGAAGUGUGGUAAAAUAUCUACACUGUGGAAUCAAGGGAAAGCAGUGCUGUAACAUCUCUUUUGUUCAUAAUGAAAUCCAGCCAGUGGGCUAUCAGUGCAGAAGAGUGGACGUAGGCUUGGAAUAAGCCGAACCACUAUAAACCUUGUGUUCAAUUUUCUCUUCCCUACUCUCUGCUUUACUUUGAUCAUAGUUUGAUUUGUUAACUAAAGGAGAGCUUCCUUUCUGUUGUUUGUCUAGUAUUGCUUUCAUAUCUCGAGAAAUUAUUUUUACACCUAUUCACCCCCCUCUAGGUGCUUGUACUAGCUAUAUCAAAUGCCUUCUAGAAUUUUUUUCUCGAGUAAAAUAGCAAUCAACUUCAAUAUGUUUUGUUCUCUCGUGAAAGAUCGGGUUUGCCACUAAUUUUAGUGCAGCAUCAUUAUCACAAAAUAAUUCACUUGCGCCGUUGACUUGCACACCAAGAUCUGAAAGUAAUUCUUGUAUCCAAACUAUUUCACAAAUAGUUUUGCAAUGGCUCAAUAUUUUGAUUCAGUUGAUGACAAUGAAACUGUUGACCAUUUCUUCAUUUUCCAUAAAAUCAAGGACUUUCCUAACUUGAUACAAAAACCAAUUAUGGAUCUUCUCGUCAUUGGGCAAGUAGCAUAAUCCGUGUCAUAAUAUGCCAUCAUCUUCAUGUUGCUAUCACGGGAUGAUAAAAUUCUAAGUCCUGGACAUCCCUUCAGGUACUUUACAACCUUCAACAUUGCAGUCAUAUAUGAUUGCUUUGGGUAGUGCAUAAACCGACUAAGUAUUUGUACUACAUAACAUAUAUCAAGCUUAGUUAUGGUGAGACAUUAAUUUUCCAACAAGUCACUAAUAUCCCGAUGGGUCCUUGAGUAGUGCCUCUUCAUUUGGGGAAGGAGAACUUGCAUCAUAUUCAUAUAUUGUCCACUUGACAUUUUGCUCAAUAAACACAAUAGUUGGUUUACACCCCGACAAUCAUGCAUCUGAUAUGAUUUCUAGGAUGAAUUUUCACUAAUGAGACAAAUUCCCUCACUAGAUCGAGCUAUUUUAAUACCAAGAAAAUACUUAGGAGGUCCCAAAUCUUUAAUAUGGAAGGUCAAAUGCAAGUAUCUCUUGAACUUCUGAAUUGCAACAUCAUCAUUUCACAUAAUAAGUGCAUCAUCGACAUAAAUCAAUAAGUAGAUCGAUGAAGUACCUUUGAUCCAUGUGAACAAUGCAUAAUCAUGCUUCGAGUGUUGGAAACCUGCAUUUACAUGCUACAGUAAACUUGUAAGUGCAUUUCCAUGUGAACAAUUCAUAAUCCAUAAGUACAUUUGUAAGUGCCGCAAUAAACUUUACAUGCCACUGUCAAGAGGCCUAUUUGAGUCCAUACAGGGAUUUGCGGAGACGGCACACUCAAGACUCCCCUUAUCUACGUAAUUCCUAUGGAAGUUCCAUGUAAAUUUCUUUAUUAAGGUCGCCAUGAAGGAAGGCAUUAUUGACAUCCAUAGGAUGUAAGUCCCAAUUACGUAAUACAACAAUAGAUAGAAAAGAGCGAACAAUCACUUCUUUAGCAACAGAAGAUAAGUUCUCAUGCUAGUCAAAACCUUCACGUUACGUGAAUUUUUUAGCGACGAGUCGAGCCUUAUAACGCUCAAAUGAACCAUCUGCUUUAUAUUUUAUUUUGUAAACCCAUUUGCAGCCAAUAGGCCUUCUGUGGGAGGGCAGAGGAACGAUGUCCCAAGUAUUAUUCAAUGUAAGAACAGCUAUUUCUUUUCAUGGCCCUUUGCCAGCAAAUAUCACGCGCUACUUCCUCAUAGGAAGAAGGUUCCCGUUCUUCAAAUAUCCAACUGAUACAACACUUGUUUCGGCAAUAAUCGAUUGAAGAAAACAUAGGAGGACACCGGAUAUUACGUACGUGGAGUCCCCAAGGUAGGGCAGAUUUAGUCCUUAAUCCAUGUUAGGGGGACAAACCUAUUGUCCUAAACAUAUAGGCCUAUCAAUAGCUAGUGAUAAGGGUCCAGUAUGAUGUUGCUGUGAUGAUGGAGAACCAUUAUUGCUUUGCCAUCAUGAUAUCGUUGCAGAUUUGUUUAUUGCAAAAAAAGAAUAAGAAGACCUAGUAAGGGGAUCAGGAGACCCAGUAGAUAAAGCAGGAGAUCCAGGGCAUGCCAUCACAAGACAAUAGUCGAUGGAUGGUUGAUCUGGUCAAUCAAAAUGUACUCUAGCUGCAUAGAAAUAUCCUCCACUUAUAAAAUUGUCAUUGAUUUGAUUUUGCCUUUGGCGGCUUAUGUGGAGAUGCCAUUUCUUAUAAAGGAAAUAUAUCCUCACGGAAGAUAACAUCUUAGCUAACAUAGAAACAACCUAUAGAUAUCUCCAUAACUUGAUAACCCUUUUAUAGAGUGGGAUAUCCCAUUAAGACACAUUGAAGAGCAUGAGGAUCCAGUUUAUGUCAAUAUCUAACAUUUGUCACAUAGCUAAGAUAGCCAAAUAACCAAAGAUGACUAAUGUCUGGUUGCGUGCAAAAGAACAUCUCAAAUGGGGUGCAACCCUUUAAUAUUCUAGUUGGCAUGAGAUUAAUUAAAUAGGCUGUUGUGACCACAUAAUCUCUCCAAAAAUAUUCAAGAAUAGAAGCUUGAUAUUUUAGUAUGCGAGCAACUUCUAGAAGGUAUCAAUGUUUACGUUCAAUGAUUCCAUUAUGUUGGGGAGUAUAAGCACAACAACUCUCAUGGAGUAUACCUUGAGAGGACAGAAGAGACUGGCACUUAGUUGAGAAAAAUUCACUCCCGUUGUCUAUGUCAAUCCUUUGAACAUGUUUAUCAAAUUGAUUUUUAAUCAUGGACAAGAAUUUCAAUAGACAUGAAAAGUCUGACUUUUGGACUGCAUGAGAAAUACCUAAGUGGCACAAGAAUAAUCAUCUAUGAUGGUAAGAAAGAACUGGGAACCAUCACAAUACGGUGUAUGAUAAAGACCCUAAAUGUCCAUUUGAACUAGUGAGAAAAUACUACUGGCUCGAGACACACUACUUGAAAAUGGAGCUCUUGAUUGUUUUGCCAAAGGGCAUAUUAUACAAUCAAGAUAAGGAAAAUGAGUAACUAUGGCCCAGACGCUUUUGAGAAAGUGAAAUUUUAUUUCUAUUAACAGCAUUACAAGAAAUGCUUUUAUUUUAAGAGGAAAAAUCAAAAUCUCUAGGGAAGUUGAUCUAAAAAUGUAGCCUUGUUCCACUCUACCCAAGCCUAUCAGUUUUCCCAAUCGAAAUGUCAUGAAAGGAACAAUUUUUGCAAUGGAAAUUGGCUCAACAAUAAUCACCAGUGAUAUUUUUGACAUCAGUGAUAUAUCCAUUUGGGAGCCAAAUAGAUAUGGAGGAAUCAAGCUUUGUGUAGGUAUCAGAAAACAAAUAUUCAUUGCAAAUUAUGUGGUCAUUGGUGCUUGAAUCAAUAAUCCAACAUUAACUAAAAUUUUAUUAGUCUUUUCAUGAUGAAGUACUUGAAAAUUUUGUUGUCUUGUCGACUGUCUUUAACUGAUUCAAUGCCUUCAUGAUGUGCUAAUAUUAAUCAUGGGUAAUUGGCUAAUGAGCCUUGUCACUUCUUUGUGCUAACAUCUAAUAAGUAGAAAAUUAUUUUCCUUUAUUUUCUUUGUUAGUGGGCUUACCAUGUAAUUUCCAACAUUUCUCAAUGGUAUAUGAUGUGGACGCUGACAAUAUUCACAAUACUUACCCUUAAAUUUACAAUUUUGGCCUCCCCCCUUCUAUGAUGACGUGGCAUUAUAAUGGCCACUAGAUUAAGUCCCACAUGAGAUUAAACGAGAGCCAUCAAAUCCGUGACCUCUUCGUUGAUCUGUGCUAUCGAAUCGGUGGAAAUGUAGGCCAUCUCCACCAUUAGUAAGUUAUAGCGUUGUCUUCAUCUUCUUCAUUCUUGUUGGGCAACCGAGGGUUUCUUCCCGAACCUCCUAUUCACUACAAGGCGUGAAGGCCACCAUGAGAGUGAAACAAAAUCCUUGUCGGUGCAGCAAGAACCAUACUUUCUCCUCCCCCUUUAUGUCCGACAAUGGCUAGUCGCUGAUUUUCUUCUUGGACGGCUAGUUGGAAUACGUGGCCGAGCAUCAAUACUGGUUCCAUGGUGAGGAUAUGCGAACAAAAAGAUAUGUAGCUCUCAUUUAGGGCUAAUAGGAAUUAGGUCACAUUCUCUCGUUUUUUAAUCUCCAUGUAUUGCUUAAGAGUCAACUCUAACCCUUCAAGUUGCUCCUUAGCUACCUUGAGCUCAUUCUAGAGAGCCAAUAGACGGUUAAAGCAAGUGGUAACUGAGAGGUUCCCUUGCUUUAACUCAGAGAGGGCUUGAGUUUCCCAUACAUUUCCUUAAUGUUGUCCCACAUCAUUUUCGCAUCUUCAGUUGGGGGAAGCUCGGUCGCAACCUCUUGUGUCAAGCAAUUCCUAAUCCACAUGUGCACUAAUUGGUUGCAUUUGCGCUAAUGGCACUGCAUGCGUUCGUCAGUCGGGAAAGGGAUGGAUCCAUCAAGGAAUCCAUCCUUAUCCUUGGUAACAAGGAUCCACAGGAAAUCUCUCACCCAGGUUGAAUAAUGAUAUGGUCUAGCGAGUUAAAGAGUGAUCAGUGGUAACUCUAGCCCAUUAGCUAGUGACAUAUAAAGAGCUUCACCAAGUUUUGGUUUCUAGUGAUGGUCGAAAAAGCCAGCAGUGCGAACUCAGGUGAAAAACUCGGGUAGGGAUUCAUUCCCGAUCAACCUGGCUUCAAUUCGGGUUUGUGACCCAGAGUUGGGUCUAGAUCUCCAUUUGGGCCAUAGUUGGCCCACUGUUGAUUGGGCUCGGUGGCCCAUUGAUUUGGUCCAGUGGCCCAUGGGCCUUGAACUGAAGCCCACGGUACAUACGGCCAUGAUGCUAGAGCAGGGAGCUAGUUCAUGACUGAAGCAAAAGUAGAUGGGUGUUGAGCAACCUGCUCAACUUGUUCCGAAAUUUGAUUGGAUGAUUCUUGUAUUGUAGAAGAUUAGGUCGUGAAUUUCACUGUCGCUUGGAUUUUGCAUAUUGAAUGGAAGACUGAAUUCCUUUCCAAUGUACUAAUUUUGUCCUGCAAGUAGUGAUUUGCAGUAACAAAACAGAAAACAAUUGAAGGCAACUUAGGAAGAAGAGAAAUUUUUUUGCAAAAGGUAGAUUAGAAACACUGCUCUGAUGCCACGAAAAGAAAUGUGGAACAAUGGAGGAAAAAAUUUUCUAUAUAUUUUCAUCCUAUCAAAUGUACAAGUAUGCACCGAUAAUUGUAGCAUAGGAAAACAAAUCUGAAAUAAUAUACACACAAUAUUGUUUUUCCUAAAAAUAUUCCAUAUCUACGAUUUGUUAUAUCAAUCACAAGAUUAUAAUCUAAACAUAUCAAAUCACAUUCUUUCUCCAACAAUAAUCAAGAGAGAUCAACCCUUUGUCCAGGGAGAAAACAGAGCGAACACGAAAUCAACAGAAUGUGCAUGCACUUCCCAUUUGUGCUUCUUCUAUGUUGGCUUUGCUCUUAGAAUUCUUAUGACGAGCUAGUAUGGCCUCGGGUGCUAUCGUUGUCGUUUUUUAGUCUCUCUGUCACACCUCAAUCCUUGAGUGCAUAGCCAUCUCUCUCUAGUCAAUAAAAUUUUUGCGACUUCCCAAGACUAGUCGCCACCCUUUUUAUUUUAUUGCACAUGCGGAAGCGAAUAAUAAAUCCCUUGACAGUAACCAUCUCGGGAUAGAAAAGCAGGACAACAAAUUCACAAACAAACAUGCUUUAAUAUUCACAUAAAGUCAUGUACAAGGUCUAUGACCAAAAGACUACAACGACUGACUUUCCAAAAAGAAACAGUCCUAACUGACCCACACUUCAACCACUAGGAUUUGCCCCAGUGGCCACCCUUCCAACAUGGAAGGGGGAGGUGAGGGGCUCAAAUCCCCACCUUCUCAAGGGGGGAUGGGGUGGAGACUCAUGAGUUUCAAGAGUGGGUUUCGACUCCCACGCCCUGCAAGAGGCAAGGCAAAAGUCUGAGAGUGAGUGUAGAGUAAGGAUAGAGUAGGACUGGCCAAAAAAAAAAACUGACCCACACUUCCGAUCACCUCCUCUUGGCUCCAGGUCCUCCACUCGACGACCCUGAAAAUUUAACCCACGACGGUGUGAGAUAUAAAUCUCAACGAAUUUACGCUCUAAACCUCGAUUAGGAGAGAAAUACGCCUAGAAGCGUCCUAAUCAUACAAUCACAUAACCAUAGAAACUUACCCUAUCUCAGAUCCACCUAAUAGGUCAGCACAAUUCAUAUUAUAGGUAGUCACAAAAGCAUGAGCAGUAAAUAAGCUCCACCGACUGGAAUGCCACACUCAAUUCUCAAACCAGCACAGGGGUCCUGGUUAUAGAGCCAAAUUAUUAUGACACAUCACAUACCGUGCAACACAAUUUUGUCUCAUAAUCCGGCAUAUUCAACUCAAUUCAUCAUGCGUUCCUAGUUUUAAUCUCGACAUAUAGCACGGCCUACUCUCUGUUCGGCGGUCUUCUGGCAUUGCCAGGCAUUGUCUCAUCCCAUUGAGCACGGCAUGUCUCCAUUAGACGACUUUCUCGAAGGAGCAUAGGUCCAGAAUUUACUACGACCGGCUUUCCGUUGUCUAGGGGCAUCCCAUAUAGGGGUUACCGUCCAGCUCAAUAGCCCAGGACGAGUUCUCUUAACCAACACACCUCAAUUAAAAUGAUGAACCUUGCCUUUUUCUUUGUAUUAGAAUUACAUGGUAAAAUAGUUAUGUGUGGGUAUACGGUCAACUUGAACCAGAAAAAUUAAUAUCUUCUACUUUAAAAUCUCACUGUUCUAUAUAGUCUGUGAAACCAUUUUCGGUGUUAAAAUCAACACCCGGGAUUUUCUGAAUAAAUAUUAGAAAUUCAUAAGUUUUGGAAUUAAACACUCAAAUUUUCAAUCAGCACUCAAUUUGCGCAAUUUAACACCUAAUUGAAGAAAUUAACAACACCAUUGCAAUCAGCACGGAAUUCUGGUCACCGGCUAUCCCGGCCUAAUUUCUGGAAAUUAUUUAAUAAUUAAAUAAUUUCUAAAAUUAAUUAAAUAACUACAUUAAAUAUUUAAAAAUGCUAACUUAGACUGAAUAAUUCUAAUCUAACCACCUAUUGAACUAAUUAAAUUAUCCUAACCAUUCUAACUAUAAAACUACCUAACAGGCUAACAAAAUUUAAGCUCUAACCACCUAAUUCAAUAAUCUAACUAUCCUAAAUUAAUUAAAUAAACUAAAACUAAACUAAUCUAAACUUAAAGAAAUCUAAGCACCACUUAAAUGUCAUUAGCCAACUAAGAAGAGUUUAUUGCAUAAACUCACCAGUUUAUUGCGAAAACCGGUCCACCACGACAGUGGCACGACGGCGGCCAAAAACCGAAUUUUCGGCGGCGUCAACAGACUUGGACCAGGCCUAAAGCCGGCCCAACACAGCUCAGCAAAGCUGAACUUCGGCCUUGGGCUUCUGCAGGGGCUGCUGGUUGCGGGCUUGGGCUGACUUCAAGUGGGUUUAAAAAGACAAUUGCGAGCUGAGCUGGGCUUGUUCCGUGUGGGCUGCUGGCCCCAGAAUGAAUGCUGGAAAUGGAGCUGCUGCUGGGCUUCGUGAUGGGCUGAAUCUCACGUGGGCUGAAUUGGAAAGAAGUAGCUUCUGUGUGGCUUCAAAUGGGCUGCUGCUUUUUUCUGGAGUUGAGCGGUUGGCUCGGUGAAGAUGGGCCGUGAAGAUGCGGCCGAAUUGGAGCUGGCCGACUGGGAUUGCUGAGGAACACUCGGUGGAGGAUGCGCGGCAGGAACAAGCGGCUUCGACUCAGCAGCUGGGACAUGCGGCAGCUGGCACACGGUCGUCGAUGCUGGCGCACGAAAGGGAGAGUCAACUUCGGGGAGUGAAAUUUCGUUGGUGUUGACUCAGUGAGUGGGACGAUGAAAAAGAGAGAGAGAGAGAGAGAGAGAAGGCUGGUCGGUGAUGGCGUGAGAUGGGGGAUGAAAUGGGUGGCGAGAUGAUGAUGGUGAUGGGAGUAAAGGUGCAGCAACGUGAGAUGUAGAAGGUGGGGCGUUGGAUGAUGGGUUGGUGAUGAUGAUGGGGGAAAGAAAGAUGAUGUGGUGGAUGUUGGAUGAUGAUGAUGGUGGGAAGAGACGUGAGGAAGAAAUGAAAAUGGGGAUUAAGGCAGAAAGACAAAAAUGAAAGCGAGACCAGAAGCAGGAGGGGUCGACCGAUUGAAAAGCACGAAGAAGGAGGGCGGCGGUCUUGACUUGCUAGAGAAGCUGCCGAAGGAGGGAGCUCACAAUGUCUAUCCCUUCCAUUGAUUGCUUGGUCCCCUUAAACCCCUCAGACAUAUCCUUGAUCUCUUAAUACUUUCUUGAACAAUAAUACCACAAUUGAAUCAAUUUUUUAAGCCAAGGUUGCUGCCCAUGCCUAAUUUCGAAUUUCAUAACUUGAGCCUCAAUUUCUAUCCAAAUUUCCUCAAUUCAAUGUCCAAAUUUUGAUGAAGAUGAAGCCCACAAAAUUUCUACAAGUUCUUAUCACCAAAUAGCUUGACUUAGAAGUCCAAAUUCCCCUUCAAUUCGGCCCGUUCGGAAUUCCAUUAAUUUCCGAAUCGUCUGAAACGAUUUUUCGAAAAAUUCUUGAGAUCGCCAAAAAUUCUUAAGAUGAUGAGUCGACGUUCUUAAAAUGAAUUGUGACACGACAGAACUUUCAAUUUCUGAAAUCGGGUUCAACUUCAUGGUUAAUUUCAAUCUAAUGUGAUUUUAGCAUGACCUAGUCUAUCAUGUAGUUUUUAUGAAUUUUCGGUGCAAUUAACCUGUGAUCAAUUUAUCUCGAGUCACAAUGUACAUCUUCGAUACAUUGGUGACACUCAGUUGUCGUGAAAAUCUCAAGAUUUCAAAUACAGAUACUAGGUACAGAAAUAACAGAAAAAUUGGUCUAGUACCGUUCGACGAGAAUUUUGCAAUUAGGUGGAAUCACCCACGCACUAAUCACAUAUCUCCAUCGAAUCAACAUAUCUCUAAUCUCUGAUUGAUUUUUGAUGGUGUUGUAAUGACUCUUGCAGAUCAACACGGUCGCAGAUCAACACGGUCAAGCAGUCAAUUCAUCGUCGAAUUCUCAAGUCUAUUGCUUUAAAUCCCUUAAUGGCUUCUCCAGAUAGUUUAGUUAUUUCGUGAGUGAUCCACUCAGAGAAUAGCACUAUCGGCGCGUUGAUGAAAUGCCCGAUUUAUUUAAUCGAAAACAAAUUCUGAAAAUUCAGGCUGUCACACUCUCUGUCUAGUGUGAUUGCCCUCUCUGUUUAGUUCCCCGCAGGCAUCAUCCUUAGCAGAGACAUCGCCCGAAUUCACUUCCUUCUCGAAUUUUGUCAUCACAGCGGGUAGCAACUACUCUCGGCAAUCCCAUGAUUUGUUGGAUUCCAGGACUGGUACGAGAUAUGUGGACUAAAGAAGGACCAAGUAGUGGAAGCCGCAGGUGGUGCGGUAGAAGUCUUGCAUCGCGACGUUCCUCGACAGUGAGGACGGGGUAGAUGUCGUCCCCAUCUGAAUCUACUUCCUCCAUCUAUCACUCCUUCCUUCAUUCCUUCCCGAUUCUUCUUCCUCAGGAUCUUAUGCAGUUAAAAACGUUUUUCGGGGGAUUGAAGGGCUGGGAUAGAUACGUUGUCUAGACUUAAUCUCAUGAUGUGGAACUUCUUAGGAUUGAUAUUCAAGCAAAAUGCAAUCAUAGCGACAGAAACUGUGUUACUGUCAAUUUGUUUGGUGUUCUUAUAUAUGCAUCAUAUUUGUUUUUGCUUUUUCCAGGAAAAGAGCUAGGCCAACCACAACUGGGAGAGCGAUAUUGAGCAACUAGGCGUCCGGCAGAGGAGGCAUUCUGAAGGCAACUGGAAGAAUUUUCACCAGAACUCUUAGGGCACGCAUGACAACCAUUCUGUUCCAGAAAUAGUUUCUGGAACAGAAAUAGAUUUUUCUAUUUCUAUUUUUAGAAGAGUUUCUAUACAAAAAUAACCGUUUGAUAACGAUACAAAAUUUCUACUCUAAAAAUAGAAAUUCGUUUGAUAACGACACAAAAUUUCUUCCUUCCGGACGGCAACGGCGACGACUCACGACCUUUAAUAUAAAAAAUAAAAAUAAAAAUGAUUUAGUAACAAAAAAAAUAAUGAAUAAAAAAAUCAUAAAAAAUAAAAUAAAAAUAUCAUUUUAUUUUAAAAUAAAAAUAUAAAAAUAAAUUUAUUUUAUUUAUUCUAUUUUAUUUUAUUAUACGAAUAAAUUUAUUUUAAAAUGAAUAAAAAUAAAAAAUAAAAAAAAAUUAUUUGGCAAAAUGCUCAAGGCAAACAAAAAUAAAUUUAUUUUAAAUAAAAAAUAAUUUAUUUUUAUUUAUCAUAAAUAAAUUAUUUUUAAUAAAUUUAAUAAAUUUAUUUAUUUAUUUAUUUAUUUUACGAAUAAAUUUAUUUUAAAAUGAAUAAAAAUUAAAAAAAUAAAAAUAAUUUUAUUUGGCAAAACACUCAAGGCAAAUAAAAAUAAAUUUAAUAAAUUUAUUUUUAAUAAAUAAAAAAUUAUUAUUUUUAUCAUAAAUAAAUUAUUUUUAAUAAAUUUAAUAAAUUUAUUUAUUUAUUCUAUUCUAUUUUAUUUUACGAAAGGCAAAUAAAAAUAAAUUUAUUUUUAAUAAAAAUAAUUUUUUAUUUAUCAUAUAUAAAUUAUUUUUAAUAAAUUUAAUAAAUUUAUUUUUAAUAAACUAAAAAUAAAACAAUAAAUAAAAAUAAUUUAUUUAUUUUUAUUUUUAAAUGAAUAUAUUUAUUUUUAUUUAUUUUUAUUUUUAAUAAAAUGAGGAGAGGCGAAGGAGGAGGAGGAGGCAGAGACGUAGAGGAGAUGAGGGAGGACUCACCGAAAUUAGGGUUUAGUGAGAAAAAUUAUUUCUGAUUUCUCUUCCAGAAAUCAGAAGUAUAAAAUUUUAACUUCUGAUUUCUCUUCCAAACCUAUUUCUGGAAUAGAAAUCUAUUCUAUAAAUAGAAAAACUGAUUAUGUUUAUCAAACGGAUUUCUUUUCCAGAAACAGGUCUGGAACAGAAAAACUAUUUUUGGAACAGAAAUUUUGAGUUGUCAUGCACCCCCUUACCCUCUCCUUAAUAUCAUGAGAGAAUAUGCAUGAUUCUGCACUAAUUGAUUGAUAUGCGCAAGGAUUUCUUGUGCAGGUCAAUAGCCCGAGCAUGGAUAUCCUAGUGGAGAACUUCACAAUGCAACAGAUUAAUAUUGCUAGGCUCAUACAAGGCCGAGCAGUACAGAAUGAGGAAAAUCCUAUUUUUCCAUCACAGUGGCGCAAAUUACAUCCUGAACAAUUACAUGAACCGGCAGGUAAUCUCUCUACGUUAACACAGAUGAACUUGCCAUGCCAUGCAUAAUUUCUCUCCUAUGUCUGCUCCUGCUUAUGGGGAGGAAGGACGUACAUAUUCCUCCACAUAGACUAAAAAUGAAAAAUAGAGAAAAAGAGACGGCAAAAAGAAAACGAAAGAACAGCAGAGAAUCAAUUACUAUACCCUUCCUGCCACUCGAAGCCAUCAGCUUUAAGUGCGUCCCUUAUCUCCAUUUGGGAUCAGGCCACGAAUCCCACCCUUUAAAUCUCCUAGGGCAGCUAAGAGUGCAUUUGGUAACAUUUCUGUUCUGGAGAACAACUUUUAAAUAGAAAUAGUUUUUUUUUUUUUUUUCUGUUUCAGGGAACAAUUUCUAAGUUUAAGAAUGCGUUUGAUAAUUGCAAAAAAUUUCUACUCUAGGAACAUAAAUGCUCUUUGGUAAAAGAGCAUCAACAAUUGAAACCGCAUUCCGUAUACUUCUUUGCAACUCUCAUGGCAGCUAAAUGCUCGCUGUAGCACUCGAAAAGGCGAAGCCUCCUCUGUUCGGAGACUUGAACAAGCCUUGCGAGAUCGGUGGGAUGGGGAUCGGCCAUCGGUUUGUCUUUUGGUUUUUGAGAAGAGGAAAACAGCAGGGGUGAAUUUUCACUCUUGUGCGCUUUAUAUUAUGCGCUCUGAUGAGUUUCUGGCCUUUAGAUAUGCCCGACCGAUCAAGGAAUUUAUGUGGAACUUUGUAUUUCUAAACAAAAUCUUGAGACAAAGAUUUCGAUACUUCCACAUGACCACAUCCACAUAAAAACACUUUUUUCCCUUCCUUCUUUGGAAUAUACAAGAAUAAAAUAAAACAGAAAAAUAGGGAGAAUAAAAAUUACUAGUAAAUGUGUAUAAUAUAUACCUAUAUAUAACAUUCCCUACCCUAUUGCCAAAAAGAAAAAGGAAAGAAAGAAAUCUUUAUUAACAAGUUUCUGUCAAAGAAUUUGUUAAACAUAUUUAAUUAGGAAUAUUCAAAUUUCCAAGAUUGAGAUUUGAAAGCCGUUGACCAUCCUUUGACCGAAUAUUUGCUUUGCAACAGGAGACAAAAGCAGACAGAAGAGGACUAGACGAAGAGUAGUGUGUUCACAAAAGUGAAAUGACCUUGGUCGGCAACCGAUUGUUUGAGAAGCUCAACGUUACUAUAGACCAAUUGAAUCGGCCAAAGUAUAUCGCCAGAGAAAGUUAUGCCAUCAUGGUGUCGAAUUCCGGCAAAAAUAAUUGAAAGAUGCCAUGUGAUGUUCUUGCAAGGAAGAGUGGGAGCAUCAGUAUAGACCAAUUUAAUCGGCCAAAGGAGUAUUAACCUUGUUUAAUAGAAGAAAAAGGUCAAGAGGAACUUCGUCACUUGCUUUCUAAUUUUUCCAACGUGCGCUUCUUUUUGUGAGUGUUUGAGAAAUCUGAUAUUAAUGAUUUGGCCCGUCUCUAAAACAUGCGACUUCCUUAACGCUAACAAAUGAAGCUGAGUUCCAGAAUUCUUUAAUGUUAGAUUAAAGGUGUGUUCGUUUAAGGUAAAAAAAAAAAAAAAAUGCUUAAAGUUAAAAAAAAAAAUGAAUUUCUUAACUCUCUUUUGUUUUUUUUUUUUUUUUUGUUCUACUCUACUCAUACUCUAACUCUCACUCUCACGCGUGGAAGUCAAAACCCACACUUAAAACUAAAUCAUCCCCCCCCCAACUCUUUAAAAAAGGGGGGAUUCGACCCCCCCCCCCCCCCCCACCUUUCUAACUUGAAAGAGGGAAAAGGAUUCUUGGAAAAUGAUUUUAAUAAAGCAUUCUCCUUCAUUAUGAAGUUUUCCUUCAUAUAAACACUCUCUAAUUAAAUUUGACACUAUGCUCUCAUUAUUUCUUCAACAAAUGAUCAUGUAGUGGAUGGCAAGAGAACAGGAAAAGUACAAAAAAAGUUAUAAACAUAUUAUAUUAGUACCAAUUCAAUCAUGAAUAUUUUAAUUUGAUCAAUUUAAUCAUAAAUAUUUUCUCAUUAGUACUACUUCAAUCCAUCCUACCAAUUUAGGCAAGAAAUUGCUAAUGUAGAAGACGAUGGUCCUACAUGGUGUACUCAACAUUGACGUGGACCAAUUUUAAAUGAUAUAUUAUUUUUCUAAAUUUUUAAUUAUUUUUCUUUUAUUUUCUCUUUUAUUUUCUUUCUAUUUUUACACUUUUGGCCACGCAAGAUUGCUAGCCGACCAUCCCCAGCCAUAAGCUAGGGCCCACGUGCCCUUGCCAACAAUAGUUGAGUGCUGCCGCACUUAAUAAAUUCAAGAGGUUAUUUUGGUGACUAAUUGCCUUUUGCUUCUAAGAAACUAAUUGCCUAAUUAGCUAAAGCUUUUGAAGCUAAUGAAUCAUCGUAGGGUUUCUUUUAGCUAUAGUUUUGCAAAGGAAAAAUUAUCCAAUCAAUGAUACACCUAUUAUACGGAUGCCAAUUCAUUUAUAAAUUUUCUAAUUUUGUCACUUUAACCAUAAACCUUUGACGAAAUUGCAAUACAAUUAUUUUGGCUAUUUUUUGCCGGAAAUCACUAAUGUGGCAAUUCAAUUAUCGUCGGCAAUUCUACAUAGCACAUCACCAUGGCAAUGAUUUAGUGAAAAUUGACCUAAAUGACUAUAAUGAAAUUUCUUGCAAAGUUUUAGGAUAAAGUUAGUAAAAUUGAAAAGUUUGUAAGUGAAUUUACAUCCGUACAAUAUUUUUAGGAUUGAUUAGACCAUUUUUUCAUUCCAAAACCCUAAGAUAUACCAUAUAAAUACACGUUGAAUGAGGAACAUUACAUGGGUGUUGUUGCAAAUGUAUCACGGUGAAUCCGAAUCAUCAAAAAGUAGUAGAGUCUCAUGUGGGUCCCACCAGUCUAGUUCAAACUUGACUUAGUAUGUAUACUGAGUUAAAGGGAAAAUUCCAAAAAUGGACCCGAAGUGCCAUUUUUUUCUCAAAUAUCAAAGUAGACUUUAUUUCAAAUAAAAACAUGAAAUGACUUUAGUUGUUUCAAAUAAGGGCCUAAAGUGAUUUUAAUUGUUUCAAAUAAGGACCAAACCUCAUCAGUUGCCGGCUGACUAAAUUUUCCAACCGAUCAAAGGUAUUUUCGUUAUUUGGCAUUUUCCUCCUCUUUUUCUUACUUUUUUUUUUCUUUUGGUUCUUCUUCUUUCUCUUCGCCAGUGGCCAGCCGACCACUAGCAAUGCCCACAGAGGGCUAGGCGAGAGUCGCCCUUGUCCGAGGGCCACCCACGCCUGCCACAGGCGAGGGACAGCCUCGCUUGGGCGUGGCGACCCUCACCUAGGGGCUAUCGAUGAGAUUGGUCCUUGUCGGCCUUAGCGAGGGUGGCCUCGCCGGCAAUCAGCGAGGGCUAGGUGACCUCACCGGCCACAAGUGAGGCUGACCCUCGAAGAUUUGGUGAGGGUGGUCUCACUCACGAUCAACGAGGGCUAGGGGACCUCACCGACCCCUAGUAAGGGUCUGCAAGGCCACCCUCACCGGCUGUGGGCAAGGGAUCAGUCUCGCCUAGGGCCGGCGCAGGCCGACCUCGCAGAUGGCCCCUAGGCGAGGGUUGCCUCACCUAGGUGAGGCUGUCCUUCGCCUGUGUCUUGCAUGGGUGGCCCUUGCUAGCGAGGGCAACCCUUACCCAGCCCUCAUGGGCAUUGCCGGUGGUUGGCCGGCCACCAGCUAAAAGGAAGAAGAAGGACCAGAAAAAAAAAAAAAAGGAAAGAAAAAAAAAGGAAGAAAAAAUGGGACGAAUGACAAAUGACGAAAAUACAUUUGACUGUCAGAAAGUUAGGUUCUUAUUUGUAACGGGCAUAGCUACUUCAGGCUCUUAUUUAAAACAAACAUAACUAUUUCAGGUCCUCAUAUAAAAUAACAUUUACUUCAAACCUUUAUUUGAGAAAAUAAUAACACUCAAGGUCCUUAUUUAAAAUAAGAUCUAAUUCAGUUCUUUAUUUGAGAAAAAAAUGAAACUUCAAUUCCCUUUUUGGAAUUCUCCCUCGAGUUAAUUGAAUAACUCUCCAUGAUGAAUAAAGUACGACGUCAUGAUCGGUUCCGCCGGCCUUUUUGUCGCAUUCGAGACGUGUUCCGUGGAGAAACUUGGUUGAUCGGGUUUGGUUCGGACGAUUGAAGCUAAUGAAGGACAGGAGAUUGAUUACAACGAAUGUGGACACGAAAGUUACAUCGGCUUCCAGGCAUUUAAAUAGAUAACGCCACAAUUCAAGGUCCAGAAAAGUCAUCACAGAAGCGUCCGAGACAUUGAAGAAAAAAGGGUGGACCCAAACUCGACCUCGAAAAGAAAGUCCACGGUCAAAUUUGGCACAUACGAGAGAGCCAAUGAAUCAAUCCAACUGAUAAAUUCAUUGCCACCAAAAAUGAAUCAAAACCCUAAUUAAGGUCACAUGCAUCAAUUUAAUAACAAUUACAAUAGUAAUCAUGAUGACGACAAAGAUUUUAUGAAUAAAUACUUUGGAGGCAUUUAAUAAGCACCUAUUUAAAAAUUAACAUUUUCUAAAGGAAAAAAUUACUAAAUAAGUCAUAAAUCUAUUACAAUUAUAUAAAUUCGGUCAUAGACCUUUCUUUUUUAUCAAUUGAGUUCUACACAUUUUGAAUUUCUUUUUCUUUUUUACUGUUAAUUUAGUAAUAGUUAGGAGUUAGCCAGAUGGACUCAAUUAGCAGAUUUAUAACUUAAUUGGGGGAAAAAAAGGUUUAGAACUGAAUUAACACAAUUGUAAUAAGUUUAAAACUCUUUUAGUAAUUUCCUAUUUCUAAAGCUUUCUCCUCGUGCAAACAAGUAAUUUUUUGGUAUUCAAAUUAUUCUAAUUUAAGUAUACUCAAUCAAUUUUACAGGACACUCAUCGAAGUGGCCAAUAAUAAUAAUAAUAAUAAUAAUAAUAAUAAUAAUAAUAAUAAUAGUGUUGAUGAUUGAAGAUAGACGAGCUAGGGAUUUGAGAACGCUUGAGUCGGUCAAAGAAGACAUUGUCAGUCAAUUAGGAGUCUGAAACAAGUUUGUGACCCUUCAAUUUCGGAUGUUGCUCCCACAAACUGAUGAGCUCAUCCAAGCCUGAAGUGAAAACCUCUACUUCUAGUAUCGAAAUGCCCAAAAAUGGCCAAGAAAAGAGUCUUGAAAAAUAUUAUAAAAAGAGCAAGAUUACGAUAAAUAUAUAUGUGAUUGUUAACCAAAAGGAAAGAGAAAGAUUACGAUAAAUAUGUAUGUAAUUGUUAACCAAAAGGAAAGAGAAAACAUUCAACAUUUUCCCUUAAGAUAUUCUGCCUUAUGCGGUUUUUUUUCUUUUUCUUUUGAUGCAGUGAGUAAUCGAUUUUGAAACUAAUCUCUGGAGAUGUUCGAGAUACCGAAAUGGGUCGCAAAUUGAGAGAGAGAGAGAGAGAGAGAGAGAGAGAGAGCUAGACUUUAAGUACGAUCCAGAAAAUAAUUUACAUGGGUUAUUUAUCACUCGAGCUUCAAUUCUUGAAUUGGAAAUCAAACAUUGGAUUCACUGUGAAAUCAUGAUACAUAUCUCUCGUGCUAACUUGUUGUAACUGUUCAAUGCCUGCAAAUCGUUUUGAAAAGUUGAAGUGUAUUGGACGUAUUCAAAAGCUAUUGCUUUAAGUGACUUUUAUUAUAAGGAUUAAUAUUAUGAAAAUCCAAAUUUAUACAUUUGUGACACUUUUUCCUUAAACUAAUUUUUUAAAUACAAAAAACCCCAAACUAGUAUAUUUAUAAUAAUUUUACUACAAACUAAUUUUUAACUACCAAAAAAAUCUAAACUUGUAGAUUUGUAACAAAUUUACCCUUCAUUAAUUUUUGUUAAAUUACUGACCAAAAUUUUUUUUUGUUAAAUUAGAUCAAUAUCUCAAAAAAUCACAAAUUGGUACAUGUGUGAUAAAUUCAGGAUAAAACCAAAACUAGUACAUCAUAAAUUGUCACAUAUUAUCUAAUUCUUAAAUUUUAUUAUAAAAUUUAAUAGAAACUAACAUAGGAUAAAUUAUUUAUAUGUAUACCAUAUUAGGGUUUUUUGUAGUCAAAGAAUUAAUUUCGAAUAAAUUUGUCAUAGAUGUAAUAAUUUGAGAUUUUUUUUUUUUUUUUUUUUUGGUGCUGGAGAAACCGGCUUGCAGCCGAUGGCCGCGCCGUAAACCCUCAGGUGACACUUAAGCAAGAGGACCCACCACCCCUGAGUCGCAUUUAAUACACCUAGCGUCUCCCCUGGGUUUUGAACCCUUCACCUCUUCGUUGAGGAUCAUCAGAGUCUUAUCCAGUGGAGCCACCGUGGCCGGUGGUUAUAAUUUGAGAUUUUUCGUAGUAUUAAUCCUAAUAAUAAUUUAUGCCAAUUCAAGUUCCUUCCCUUCAAGUAUUUCUCCUCCUCCAAACACACCAAGAUCAUUAAUCCACACCUUUUUCAUCUUUACCUUGUCCGCGCGUUGCUGCAGUUCAUGAAAGCAUAUAUCAGCAUUAUGCAUCAUUAAUUGUCAAUUUGUUUCAUCAAAUUUGAAUCGUCGAUUGAGAAUCUUUCACCAAACAGAUUUAUGUUCAUUUUUUGUUCUGGGGAACAAAUGUAAUGAUUACCGGCAGGAAUUAUAUCAAUAGAACAUAAGUAACAAAUAUACUUCAACGGAAUUUAAGCAAUCAUGAAACCUAAUGACAUGAAAAGUUUUGCCAGAAUUUAAUCAAUAACAAAAUGUAAUGAUAAAAAUACAAUGUCGAAAUUUAACCAAUGACGAAGAUAUCUAUAAUUAUGACUAAAGUACGGAAAUUAAAUAAGUAAAGAUUAAAGAUAAAAUCGCGAGAACUUUUACUUCUUAGAUUGAUUGAUAGAGGGGUAUAAAGAGUAGAUGAUUGUUAAAGGUAUACAAAGAAUAGGUGUGGUUAUUUAUAGCCCACACUAGACAGUAUAUAUAGCGGUUACAAUUUUGGAGUUCAGAUAAUAAAUAACUUCUUAACGGUGGUUACAAAAAUUUGUAUUAUCCAUUAACUCUUUUUAUAUAGAAUAAAUAUCCAUAAGAAAUUUAAAAUCCCUAAAUUAGCAGCAACAAAAUAUAUCUACUCAGGAGUUAUGUCUUCCUAUCGAUUGCUAGCUGUUGAUGAUUUUGUCAUCAAUUUCUUUGGUCUUGAUUAAAGUUCUUGUCAAUAAUUGAUGUUGUUUAUGACUUCAAUAACAAGUGGUUGAUUACCUCAAAUUGUUGAUUGUUCUGUUCAUUGUUGACCAAACUCUGCUAUUAUUUUUUGAUGGUGAUGAACAUGACCUAUAUUUCCCCCUUUUAGGCAAGAUUAGCAUCAUGCAAGGAAAUACUUCCUCCAUUUCGCAGUAGGUUUAGAUAACUCUCGAGAAUUUAGAUGACCUAAUUCCCUUUAAAAAAAAAUCCUCCAGUUUAUGUCUAAUUUCAAUUUUGCCAUGAACUAUAUUUUCAUAUAGAAAGAUUCCCUCAUUUUUCACUCUGGUAUCAAAUCUGUUCACUCGUUAAAAAAUAGUUUCAUAUAGAAAGAUUCCCUCAUUUUUCACUCUAGUCUCAAAUCUGUUCACUCGUUAAAAAAAGUUGAUAAUUUUUGCAAAAUUAUCAACAUUAAGGCCUAAAGAAUCAUCAUUAAAAUCCAUGUCUUCAUCAAUACCAUCACCUUCAUAUAGAACAACGAUAGCCUCCUAAUAUUGAUAAUCUUGAAAAAACUCAUGGCAAUUUUUCAACAUGAGGAUAGAUUUAAGAUAAGCAUGAAAGUUAGCGAUUGAUAUUCAAUCGAAAAAAAAAAUGCCUUGGGUGGAGUGGAGAUUAGACUUAAAGUUGGGGGUUUAUGAGGGAAUUAGCUCGAAUUUAGAUUGAUUUGCCCAAUGUCACGUCAUACGGUGGAUUUAAAAAGGGACAUAAUCUACUUGAAUUGAACCGGGCCAAGUGUCUUACUAAAACGACGUUGAUCAGCGAGGUGGCUGUGCAUGCUCAUGGAGGCCCAUACACAAAACAAGCUCGAUCCAAAGGUUACAAUGCAUCAAAUUUGAUAUGAUUAACGAAUUUGGGUUGGAUUGAAAACGAAAUUGGUCCGAUUCCACUCUAAAACCAAAACUAUUUAAAUGGUUUCAUUUAUUUCACGGAAAGUUAAUGAUUCGAAAAAUAUUUUCUUACAAUGAUCAUUUGUAUUCCCUGGAAUAAUUAGUCAAUGGAAGAUAUCUUCAUUAUCAAUGAUUAAUUUAUAUUCAAAUAUUUUUGUGGAUGAUGGUGAUAUUGUUCAUUCAUUUUUUUAAAUCAUUCAUUUUCAUCAAACGAUAUGAAAGUAAUCGGAUUAACUACUUGUUAACCACUUAUGAAGAAGGGUAGUUUCUGAUGCUUCUUCAAAUUCACCUACUCUUUCUUCCUAGUUCAUACUCUCCUCUUUAAAUUUUUUUUUUCAUUUUAAUUUUGUGUUUAUAUUCACUAAAAUAUUUUUAGGCACUGUUUAGAAAUACGGUAUUUUAUGUGCUUGACGCAUAACAAAAUACACAUAUGUUGGAGAGCACCUUGCGAGAAUAGAGGUCGAUGAUAUAACGCGUUUUUUGGAUCCACAUUACAGUGCACUCAAUGUAACUUUUAUUUUACAUGCACGAGUUGCCAAUUCUGAAAAUAAAAUUAAGAAGGCCUCUUUUAUAGUUAUUGUACAAAAAUUCCUAUCGAUUUUAUGUUAAUUUGACGUCUCUCGAAUCAGCUAUAUCUGUACUUCUUCCCUUAUUGGGGAAAAAGGUGGUGGUUUCUUUUCAUAAAAGAAUAUGUUUUUAAUUAGCUAGAUCGAAUACGCAAAUUAUAAAUAUAAAAAAAGUGAUCCCCAAACUUUUUUUUUUUUUUUGUGCGAUGUCUAACUUAUUAGAAAAGCCCUAUUUCAAAAGAUUAAAAAAGACAAGGAGUAUACUAGAUGCAUAUUCACUCCUCUUGCUAAUAGCGAGACAAAAAUUGCAUUUCCAUAAAAUAUUCUAGAACCAAAUCAAACAUUUUUGCGCAAAAAUGAUAAAUAUGUAUAUUUAUCGUUACUCCCUUUAUAGAAUGUUCAUAGAAUGUUCAUUGCAAGAUUGCUCAUGAUACAUCUUUUAAUUUAUAUAUAAAAAGAGAAAUUGGAUCGAACCGACUCAGAUUGAAUGCGACAAUAUAGUAUCAAAUACAAUGAUAAUUUCUUUUGACAAAAGAAAUUUCUAUUCAUUACCAAAAUAAUAGAUGAAAUGAUUCAUAGGAGAUCUCAAAAUUUAUUAUGACAAGGCAAUCCUGUCGAUGAUAUUCGAAACAAAUUGCACCCCUUAAUAGCAACUAACUCCAACAGUUCGUGAGAUUGGAUCCAUUCAGCAGAUAUAGAGGGCGGCCUCGUUUUAUUUUUGUGGAAAAUACCUACUCUUAGAUCAGCCAACACAUACCCCAAAUCGGAAAAGGUAGCUAAAAAAUAAAAGAAAAAAAUCAACCAAACUCAAGCGGCGCAUGUGGCACACGUGCAGCCAUUGCCACAACGGCAGGUGCCGGUGCCGGUGGCGACCUCCGUCUUGGCGCACGGGCAAGGGUUGCAGCUGCAAUGCGCGCCGCACGAGCACCGCUUGUGAGCUUCGUCUCCGUCCGAGGCCCUGUUGACCGACGCGCACCUAUUCAAAUUAAACGUUCGAUCAUUUCUUCAUGUGGAUGCACAGUUCAAUUCAACUCGAGAUUAAAAGGAUAUUGACAUAAAUGCGGACAGUGCAUAAUUAAGGCAUCACAAUUAAUCAUAACAUACAUCUAGAAAGCAUCCCAAUUGAUUUACACAUGAUCCCACCGGCCCAUCAUAUAUAGGUGUAACUAAGGCAUGGCAUUGAGUAUUAUGAAAAAGAUAGAGCAAAGUCUCCAAUGAUGCACACCUACAAGCGCCGCGGCCGGGACAGGGGUUGGGACAGCCGCACCGGUCGUUGCAGCCGGCCGUGGUUCCGCUCCGAUCCGCCAUCUUCUUCAGCUCUUUCUCCGUUUCCUUUUUGGGCUGUGAGGGACCGUGCAACACCAAACGCCGCCAUGGAAGUGAAGCUCUUCUGGGAAUUUAUAGGAGGGAGGGUUUCUCAGUUGUGCAUGCUUCCUCGUCCCACGUGGCAUGCCAAGUGUCUCAAGAUCCUCCGGCGAGCUUGACGGCAGGUUCCGCCGCUAAAGGCGGCUGAGAGUUGAGAUUAUAAAGGGUCUUCCUUUGAUCGAUUGAAUGAACCAACGGAGUUAAAUAAGCUUUGCCGUUGUUUCAAGCUGAUCAAAUCAUUUGUAAAUAUAUUCAGUUUGACCAGAUUAUUGGCCAGGUGCAUUGUUUAAAAAGUUCAAAAUAAAUUUAUUAAAAUCAACACAUGUCGAUUGUAACUUCAGGAUUUUUUUUUUUCCAAAAAUUCAAGCCCAAUGAAUAUUAGGUUUCGAUGGACGAAGUCAACGAGCAACAUAAGCACAGGAAAUUAUAAAGUUUUAGGAAAAGAAAAUUUUCAAAAUAGAGUUUUCGCCAAAUAGUUUGCAUCAUCUCUGAUCAAAUUAAUGUCUAAUUAGGUUUUUCCAUGGAUUAAUGCCCUAAAAAACCCUAAAUCGGCACACUUACGAAAAAUUUAUUUCAAAUUAAAUUUUUGACCGUCAAAAAUUCCAAAUUGGUACACAUUUGACAAAUUUACCACAAACUAGUAUAAUUAUGACAAAUUUACCAUCUAUUAGUUUCCAUUAAAUUUUACUAUCAAAUUACAAAGUUGAAUGACACAUAACAAUAAACUAGUAUAUCAGUUUGAGAUUUUAUUCUCCGUUUGUUACAGUUUUACACUUUUUGUAAUUUUUCAUAGUAUUAAUCUAAUUUAACGAAAUGUAUAUUUAUUGCAAAUGUAUCAGUUUGUGGUUUUUGGUGGUUGAAUAAAUUAGUUUGGGGUAAAUUUAUUACAAGUGUACUAGUUUAAGGUUUUUUAUUAUUAGUUGGUGUAAAUUUGUCACGGGUGUACUAGUUUGAGAUUUUUCAUGAUAAAAAAAAAUGAGUUUUAGGUAAAUUUGUCAUAAAUGUACUUGUUUAGAGUUUUUCAGGGUAUUGACCUUUUUUCCAUAGAAUAUUAGGUGUAGUUUGAUCAAUUUCUAAAUAUCCUCUAGACAUGUAAUGCAUGUAUUAUAUGAUUACUGCCCAUCAUCGCAAGGGCGGUGCUAUUUCACCCCCCUCUACGACUAAAUUUACCCAGUUUUCAACAAAAAAGAUAAAAUUACCCUCAAUCAUUCAAUUGUAAUAUAGAGCGAUAGUCCUAAAUUUGUUUACUCUUCCUUUUUAGUUUUUCUAUUUCUCUAUAAGAUCUAAUUGUCAUUAUUAAGAAUUCCACAUAUUUUGGUUUUGUUCAUUGUGGGCACUAUUUUUUCCUUUUAAUGUUAGAGUUUAUUUUUGUAGAAUUUAGUUUUGGUGAAAAGAAGAAUUUCAGUAAAUUUAAUUUUUUUCUAUAUUGUCGAGUAAAACGCCCAUUUUUCACUAAAGCUCGAUCAUUUAAUUAAAAAUUGUAGCAGUGGCCACAAUCCUUUAUUAAUUUAUUUAUAUUCUAUAUAGAAUUUAGUUGCCAUAACGAAGCAUUUGACAUGUAUUACUUUUGUAAAUUGUGGGUACUCCAUGCAUAUUAAGGGCACUAUGUUACUCAUACAAAAAAGAAAGGCACUAUUUUCCUUUUUAUUUUUAGAUUUUACUUUCAUAGAAAUGAGUUUUGUCAAAAAGAUAAAUUUCCAAAAAGUAUAUAUAUGAACUCUCUUAAUUUACUACAUCAAAGAAUUGCUUUCCUUGAAAAGGAGGUGACCCGGCAACAUUUUCCAGUAUGACUACCUUAUUUAAGACUUCACUUCAAUCCCUAACCCUGCCGUCCCCCAUAGACUGAGGAGCAAAAGGAGGAAUCUGCCAAAGGUGGGGCUUGCGCUUGAUUAGCUAGUUGGUGAGCUUUAGCAUCAGUGACAAUUUGUUCAAGGUUCCAAACUCAGUAAUGACAACUAAACACGAGGGUUGCACUCAUUACAUGACUUAACCCAACACGAGCUGACGACAACCAUACACCAGAUGAAUCGAGACAAUAUUUUGUAAAAAUGCAAUCAUCUUGAAUAGAGUGGGCCUAUAGCUCAAAGGAUUAGAGCAUGUGGCUGCAAACCUUGGUGUCAAGGGUCAUUUUUGGAUCUAGACCAAAUAGGUUCAAGAGAUGAGAGAAUUAAGGACACCCAUUACAAAGACUAAUCCAACUUUAACAAAAGGGUACCUUGUACCUAAAAUCGACACAAGUGGAUAAGCUGUUUCGUUUCCAUUGCAGAAAUAAUUUUACAUAGAGCAUAUAGGAUGAUAUUAAGUUUUAUCCAUCCAAAAUUAUGAGAUUUCAUUGACAUUUUUACAAGAAUUUCUUAUUAUAAGAAAUGCUUUGAUUUAAUUAAAAUUUCAUCUUUUAGAGUUUUACAUUAGAGAACAUAACAAAGAGGUUUUUUUAUGUCUCUGUAUAAAGACAACCGAUAAGAAAAGGUCUAAUGAUAAUAUGCACUACAAAAGUGAAAGUUAAUAAACACAUAUUGUAUUACAAAAAUUAUAUUGCAAAAUUUUUCUAAAUUCUUUAUGACAAUCCAUUAAUUUAGGAUUACCACUUUAAUUACGACUAAAUGAUUGAGGGUGAUCUGUCUUUUUAGUGAAAAUUGCACGGAUGCAAUCAUAUAAAGGGUGGAAAUAGUGCCGUCCAAUCGAAAUAUCUACAAAUAAUUCUUUCAGCCCUUAAACAUUUUCUUGCUGAGGCUUUUCCCUAUUGUCACAUGCCUUCCUGUAAUUAGUAAGAAAAUUCUCGAAUUUCCAACUAUUAAUAAAGCAUAAAGAACCAAUACAUUAAAAUUGUAAUAUCUUGUCAAUUAAUUAUUAAUUGGUGUCAUGAGGUCAAAGUUUAGCAAAAUCUUAUUUUCGUAAUUCGUAAAGUCCAGUGAGUGUUUUUAUGCGUGACUAGCAAUUCCAUCUAAUUAUCUUCCUUGAUGGACUGCCACACACUAUACUCAUAGAUUGACCUUCGAAUGUGCCAAAUGGACACAAACCCAUUCUAAAGUGGAUUAAUCGCUAAGAGUCUAAUCCUCAAACUCGCGAAAUUUGGACUCCCGAUCACUUGAAAGUAAACUCUUACCCGCUUGAGCCGCUACCUUUGCGGUUGUAAGAUUAUGCGUUAUUCGAUCAUGUCCACAGUAGUUGAUAGUUGAUGGAUCAGGCAAAUGUAAGUGCUCAAAUGCACAAUUUUUUUUUUUUAACGUGAUUUCAAGCAAGACGAAGGGAAUUUUAAACUUUCUUGACACUGCCCAUGCCCAUGAGCCGAAGUACCUUUUCCUCCUGAUGAGCAUUUCCUCCAAGUGGUUGGAUGCACAUGUCAUUCUUUCUUUUCUUAGCAAAGGCCAAACCAGCAUUGAUUGGGAUGUUGGAUGAGGAAAAUGGGAGUGAAAGCUACCUUUCCAAAAAAUUUCCCUUUGUCUUUGUUUUUUGGUCGAAUUUCCGUUUGCCUUUAAAAUCUCCAAAACGGUGCUCCAUAAUAAAUUUAACACGUACUAAUUUUCAUCUGCCAAAAUAUCGCAAGCUAAUAUUUGUAACAUGUUUGCUUCUAAUUUUUGUUCCACAAAAAAAAUCCAAACUGAUGUCACUGACCCAAAUUUACUCUCCAUGUCCCCAACCUACCAACAUAGGUCAAAUUUUUAUAAGAGUACGACUCAAGAUUUUUUGUAAGAUAAAAAUUAAAUUGGAAUAAACGUGUCAUGAGACUGAUUUGGGAUUUUUCAUGAGAUUAAAAUUAAUUCAAGAAAAAUGUGUCAUGGAGUACUGGUUUGAGAUUUUUAAUUUUAUUAUCCUUUGUAUAAAAAAUAAUUACUUUCAUUUUAACCACAAAACCUUCAUUUUUCACCAUUUUGCUCCCCUCCAAGCACGCAACAAGCUGUCCAACUCAAGCUGGGGAAAGGGGAAAGUGAAAGACAGGAGGACAGCCCUUCUUCUUUUUUUCCUCUCUAAUCCAAGGACCAAUAAGUGGGGCCCACCUCUCAUGGACCCGAGAAUCAAAGUACCAAAGGUGUCUUGCUUGGUUUUAGAGAUGUUGGGGAUAUUUUUCCCCAUCGUCCUUGACUGUUUUGCACAGUGCAAUCGAAUUUGGACAUUCAUGUGGAGUGUACAUCGAAAGUGGGAAUCGCCAUUCCUACAAAUAAUGAUGAUAUGAAACAUUACAAUAGACAUAUCAUAUAGAAUUGUGAUAUCACUUUCUUUUGUCUACUUGCAACGAAACGGAAUACACACGCUAAACUCAAGAUGCAUUUUCUUUGAUUUAAGCGUGCACGUAUCAUUUAAAUUCACGUGAUUCCGAAAAAUAUCAACAAAUGGGAUUAAUAUCAUUGCAUGACAUAGCAAUAUUCCUCUUGCAUUUCGAUUUUUUCUCGCGAUUUCCUUUUUUUUAUAACGUUCUUGAAACAAUGGUUGUUCUAUCCAUCUUGCUUAUGAGGAAUCUGCUAAUACCCCUCCUUUGAGUAGUGAGUACCAACGCUAAUGGAAAAAUACUUUCCAAAACACGAGGAGUAUGAAAAAGACUAAAAAUUAAACGAUUGCGUUAAGAUGUUUCCUCCCUCCUAGCAAAACUGAAGUAUGUUUCUAAAUGUGAACUCUCGUGGAUUGAAUCAACGAUAGUUAUCAAAACAAUGGAUCCUACAUGAACAUUCGAUCCACAAAUGCUCUCCCCAUGCAAUCGAUUAUAUGUUCUCUUUGAUGGAAGUCCCAAAGGCACCGGAAGGUUGCCCUAUUUUGUUGUUGUCGUUCAUUGCCCUAUGUUGUUGUUGUCGCUCAAUUGCUCAGAAUCCUCAAUUGAUUGACCCCUUUAAUCGAUCCAAGUGACGGUGAAUGGCGAACACUAACGCGAAAAGGGUCCUUAAUUUUGAUGGGCAUAGAUCGUGACAAGUUGAAACUUGUCCAUGAUUAUUAAGGUGGUUGAAUGUCCAACCUCUCAAAAAAGAAAUUUGUCCCCGCCUCUCCCUCUCUCUCCCCUCCAUCCCUCUCUUCACGGAGGCAACAGCUGCCCUCCCAACUAAAGGGGACCCCUCCCUCCCUCCCUCGCUCCCAUACAACAAAACCCUAAAAUCUCCUUUUCAAACUACUCCCUUGUCAAAGGGGAAAAAACAGAGCAAACAAAAGCGUGUGGGGGGAGCUUGCUGUGGUCUUUGCUCGUUUGGCAAUGGGCUGUAAAAGUGACCAAAGAACAAAUCAAAUCAUCCCUCCACUCGCCGAGGGGCCCGCUCCCCACUGCAUUAGCUGGUGAUCACUGGCCGAUGCCUCCCUCUCACUGUUAAAAACUGACUUUUAUACAGCAUCAAAAAAGUCUCUCUGUCCAUCCACCGGCAUCGACCGUCCUGUUGAAAUUGAAUGUUGCCCUCGAUGCUCCUCAGCUUUCAAUCAUGGUGAGCACAGUUUCAUCUGAGGUCCUUAGGCCUUUUUUAUUAGAACAGUAAGAUGGGUGAGUAUGGACGUUCAAGGCCGUGAUUGGCUUUGUGGGUUUUGUCGGGUUGUGCAUAGCUCAGAUCAAAUGUCACCUCACUUUACUCGACUCAAUGAUUGAAAAGCCGAUCUCGGUUUCUACUUUUACUACUCUAAUUUCUUCUUUGGACUCAAAGAAGAUGAUUUGGGUUUUUUUUUUUUUUUUGGUAGAUUUGGGUUCAGAUAGUCUAAUUCGAACUCAAGCCGUUUGUGGGUAUGUUCGGCUUGUUUAAGCUUAUAAUGGAUGAGAACAUUAGCAUGAUUAUCAUGUGUAUAAUGAUCAUUAGGGAUUUCUUGGAGUCGAAUGGCCUCGUGGGUUUUGUUGAUUUGUGUAUGGCUCAAAUCAAAUGUCACUUCACUCUGCUCUAGUCAAUAAUCAAAAACCCGAAGAGAAUGAAUUGGGUUCGGAUAGGCUAAUAUGACCUCAGGUCAUUUGUGGGUAUGUUUGGCUUGUAAGUGCUAACAACAUUCGCAUGAUUAUCACGUGCAUUAGUGAUCAUUAGGGAUUUUUUUUUCCCUCCUUUUUCUAUGUAGGGCACACCUUUUGCUCUUUUUUGACUUUGGUGUUAGAGUUAAGAGUAGCAACGUACAAGGAUUAGAAGUGGUUGUCAAUAAUUCAUCAUGCUUUAUAGAAUUGAUGCCCAUAUUAGGGUUUUGGACUCAUGUGUAAUAUGGUAACACCAUUUACAACUAGCUUUCAUUUUCGCGUGUGCAAAUAUUAUUAUAUGAAGUUAGUAGUUAAGCAUGUGCCUAGUUUUUUUAAUCCAAUAAAAAAUUACAAAAAAAAUUGAAAGAUAAAUAACAAUUUGAAAAUUAAUGAUAUGGGAAGAUGGAAAGGAACAAAGAGUACCAUUUUCAUGCAAUCAAUCCAUGGCUAUCUUGUACAGUUAUUUGUUAGCGAAAUUUCUUAUGAGAAUAUUAAGCGUUCACGCUUUUAAAGCCACUUUUGUCAAUCAAAUUUCAUUAUAGGGACAAAUUUGGAGAUUAAAAGUGGGACAUCGAAUUCAAAAGUUCCCUUAAUAGUAGUACUCAUUUCUUAUAGCGCAUGCCUGAUUUGAGAUGGAUCCAGCAGGAAAGGAAAUUAUGGGUAAAAAUUUUCCAAUAUGAGAAUCUACCAUCACAAAAGCAGGAUGUUUGUUAGAUAAUCAUUCGAAGACAACAUCGAAUUUUGAUAGUCAAUUUUAUUAAAUGCUCUCUUCUUUUCUUAUGUUGGAAUGAGAAGAGUGUUUUAAUUCUAUAUAAAAGAAAUGGAUACCAAAUUCGACAAUUGACUUUACACGUGCUAUGGAAAAUACUCAUUAAACACGCUUUUCCUAAAAAUGCUUUUAUUACCAUAAAAAAAUCUAAAAGGCUUCAGAGAAAAAAUAAAUAUCCUGCCGACCAGAUGAUUCAGAUCUGGGGGUAUAAGAUUUAGACUUAAAUUGACUUAAAAUAGCAAAAGAAUGAAUUUAUUGUCUCAAUAAGUCCACAUUGUCCGUGAAGGCAUAGUAGUAUUGACUAGAUUAGUAAGUUGACGGAGUGCUCACCACUACUUAAUUGCUGAUAAAAAAAGGUUAAGAUCCCAAGAUUUCAAAGCUAACAAGAUCCACUUACAAGUUUCACUCAGCCAUGUACAAUAUAAAAAGAAAUAAAAUAAUAUUUAUAUAAUAUAUAUAAAGCGUCUAUCAUGAAAUUUUUACAUCUAAGUAAAAAUUCUAAAUGCUAAAGGAAAUAAAAAAUCAGGGGAUAAAGAAAAAUAGAAAUUUAUCUCAUCUCCUAUCUUCUUCAAGCUUCUACUUCA
rnacentral:lncRNA from 1 species